CACGCUCUUCUUGGCCUUCUUCUUCUUCUUGUCGGCGCCGCCGUCCUUGCCGGGCACGCGCUUCUCGGCCUUGGGCUUCUUCUCCGCCUCCACAGGCUUCUUCUCCGCCGCGGGCUUCUUCUCGGCCUUGGGCGCCAUGGCUGUUUCGGCGGGGAGCAGGAGGCGAGAGAUGGGUUUGGGGGGAGGACUGUGGGCUUGUUGUGGUUGGGGUUUGAGGCGUGUGUUUCGGUGGACGGGGCGCUGGGAAUAUAUAGGGAUGCGCGGAGGGGCGUGACUGGUGGAGACGGUUAGGGUCAGGAUCGGUGACGUGGCUGAGUCCGGGGUCGUUGGAUUUGAUGGACGGACGGAUUUGGACGCGGUGACGGGGUGGAUCCGCGCGGGGAGGCGUGACCUCGCUGUUGGGCGGUGGGUUUAGGCGGCCAGUAGAAAUUUGGGAAGCGAAGCGCGAGCGGGAAGGUCUGUUUUGGGCGCUCCGUGAUGGAUUGGAGUGAGUGCGACCAUGUCAUAAUUUGGAUUUGCUCGGGAUUAUUUUAGGGUAUAUAUAUAUGUUUGAUGCGUAAGAGCAAUGAUAAGAUAGAGUCAGUAGGAUGUGAGGAUUAAAAUAAUAUAUUUUUUGUUGAGUUGGAUGAGCGAGAAGAGGAGAUGGAAUGAAAGCGGACUCUUCGUGAAGAGCUAGCUAUAUCACAUGCUCCUACGUGUUUUGUGAGAAUGAAAUGGGCCAUAUAUGAUAAAAAUAGUAUCUUUUUAUAGCUAACUAUUUUACAAGCUAGAUAUAAGAUAGCUUAUGACCAGCAGUUGGCUAUACUAUUAACCAUGCUCUAAGCAUAUAAAGCGGGACCCCUUAAAUGUUCGAUCAUGUCAUCGGUCACAAAAAAUUGACCUAGACACGUCUCUCAAACCGGCAUCAAACGUCUGGGCUGACCGACAUCCCAUUUCUAGCCCAAAUACGAGGGGAUAUGGGGGACCUCGGGCGUGUCCGGGCACGCCGUCACGUCGACCUGACAGCUUGGCCCCACGCGGAGUCACCGGAAAUCCCGACGGUCCGACGGGAGCCUCGACCGUCCGCACGGUGUGAAUAUCGUGUGGCGCCACUCCGGCUCCCCACCAGAAGUCACGGUCGGCUAUUUAAUCCGGCCGACACACCUAACCCUAGCUCAUCCGCCUCCUGCUUCUCUCCGCCUCCUGCUUCUCUCCGCCGCCGCCCGAGCCCGUCCGCCUCCUCUCGCAGUUCCUUCUCCGUCAGGAUGGUCCGACGGCUCAUCACCAUAUACGUGCACCUCACUCCGGAGCGGCACCUUCAAAUCGAGGCGGAGAUUCAGGCUCACCGCGCCACCCGCAUCGCCGCACCUCCCUCCGGACUCGCUGAAGACGAAGAAGGAGGAGGACGAGCAGCAACAACAACAUGAGGAAGAGGAGGAGGAGGCUUCCUGUUUGAGCAUGGCGGAGACGGACGCGAAGUUCGCCGUCGCCUAGUCGGAGGAGAUGGCGGAGCACCACGCCAUCCUCGAUUCCACCCGGGAUGGGGACGAGGUAUAGGCCAAUCGUCGGCUCAUCCGGGAGAGGCACGCGGAGGCCGACGCCCUCUUCGAUGAGAUGGAUGCGGAGAUUGAGGCGGAAGAGGCUGUAGCGGAGCAGCCGGAUGCGUCGGAGGGGGCGGAGCUGCGGCAAGCGGCCAUUUACAUUGGAAUGAAUCUAACACCCAUACAGUUCUGGUGUUGAUCAUGCUUCGCUCGUGGAAGAGGUUUAGUCAGUGGGUGUGCAACAUUCAGAUCCGCAUGCACUUUGCAAAUAUUUGCGUCCUCUCCUUCGACGUAGUCGUGAAUGAGGUUGAAGCAUCGUUUGAUGUGUCUGGUCUUCUUGUGAAACCUUGGUUCCUUUGCUAGAGCAAUGGCACCAGUGUUGUCACAGAACAGAGUUAUUGGAUUUAGUGCACUCGGCACAACUCCAAGAUUCUACUCCGCUUCACAUGUAGAAUCUGCUACGACGCUUUGCUUGGAACUGCAUCAGCUUACCGCACCCCCAUUAAGAAUAAAUACGUAUCCGAUUUGAGACUUAGAGUCAUCCGGAUCAGUGUCAAAGCUUGUAUCGACGUAACCCUUUACGACGAGCUCUUCAUCACCUCCAUAAACGAGAAACAUUUCCUUAGUCCUUUUCAGGUACUUCAGAAUAUUCUUGACCGCCGUCCAGUGAUCCACUCCUGGAUUAAUUUGAAACCUUCCUGACAUACUUAUGGCCAGGCUGACGUCCGGUCUUGUGCACAGCAUUGCAUACACGAUAGACCCUGUGGCUAAAGCAUAGGGGACGGUACUCAUCUUUUCUCUAUCUUCCGCGGUUACUAGACAGUGAGUCUUACUCAACUUUAUACCUUGUAACACUGGCAAGAACCCCUUCUUGGACUGCUUCAUUUUGAACUUCUUCAAAACUUUAUCAAGGUAUGUGCUUUGUGAAAGUCCUAUUAGGCGCCUCGAUCUAUCCCUAUAGAUCUUAAUGCCUAAUAUGUAAGCAACUUUUCCUAGGUAUUUCAUUGAAAAACAUUUGUUCAAGUAAUCCUUUACGCUCUCUAAAAACUCCACAUUGUUUCCAAUCAAGAAUAUGUCAUCCACAUAUAAUAUUAGAAACGCUACAGAUCUCCCACUCACUUUCUUGUAAAUACAAAAUUCUCCAACAACUUGUAUAAACCCAAAUGCUUUGAUCACCUCAUCAAAGUGUUUUUUCCAAUUCCGAGAUGCUUGCACGAGUCCGUAAAUGGAUCGCUGGAGCUUGCAUACUUUGUUAGCAUUCUUCGGAUCGACAAAACAUUCGGGUUGCAUCAUACACAACUUUUUCUUAAGAAAAACAUUAAGGAACGCCAUUUUGACAUCCAUCUGCGAGAUUUCAUGAUCGAAAAGUGUAGCUAUUGCUAACAUGAUUCGAACGGACUUAAGCAUCGCUACGGGUGAGAACGUCUCAUCGUAGUCAACUCCUUGAACUUGUGAAAAACCCUUUGCCACAAGUCGAGCUUUAUAAACGGUCGCAUUACCGUCUACGUUCGUCUUCUUCUUAAAGAUCCAUCUGUUCUGAAUAGCCUUGCGACCUUCAGGCAAUACUUCCAAAGUCCACACUUUGUUUUCAUACAUAGAUCCUAUCUCUGACUUCAUGGCCUCUAACCAUUUGUUGGAAUCCGGGCCCACCAUUGCUUGUUCAUAUUUCGCAUGUUCAUCGUUGUCUAACAACAUGAUAGAUAAGACAGGAUUCCCGUACCACUCAGGAGCAGUACGUGAUCUUGUCGACCUGCGAGGUCCGACAGCAAAUUGAUCCGAAGCUUCAUGAUCAUCAUUAUUAGCUUACUCCUCAAUCGGUGUUGCCUCGACAUAGAUUUCUCUCUGCCCCGCGCCACCAUCGAGAGGGAGCAGAGGUUCCACAACCUCAUCAAGUUCUAUCUUCCUCCCACUCAAUUCUUUCGAUAGAAACUCCUUCUCAAGAAAAGCUUCGUUCUUAACAACAAACACUUUGCCCUUGGGUAUGAGAUAGAAGGUGUACCCAACUGUCUCUUUUGGGUAACCUAUGAAGACGCAUUUUUCCGCUUUCGGUUUCAGCUUUCCAGGCUGAAGCUUUUUGACAUGAGCAUCGCAUCCUCAAACUUUAAGAAACGACAACCUUGGCCUCUUGCCAUGCCAUAGCUCAUAUGGUGUCGUCUCAACGGAUUUUGAUGGGUGCCCUAUUUAAAGUGAAUGCAGGUGUCUCUAAUGCAUAACCACAAAAAAGAUAACGACAAAUCAGUAAGAAACAUCAUAGAUCGCACCAUAUCUAACAAAGUACGACUACGACGUUCGGACACACCAUUACGCUAUGGUGUUCCAGGCGGUGUCAACUGUGAAACGAUUCCACAUUGUCUUAAGUGAGCACCAAACUCGAAACUCAGAUAUUCACCCCCUCGUUCAGAUCGUAUGAACUUGAUCUUCUUGUUACGAUGAUUUUCAACUUCACUCUGAAAUUGCUUGAACUUUUCAAACGUUUCAGACUUGUGUUUCAUCAAGUAGAUAUAUCCACACCUACUCAAAUCAUCAGUGAAGGUGAGAAAAUAACGAUAUCCGUCGCGUGCCUCCACACCCAUUGGACCGCAUACAUCAGUAUGCAUGAUCUCCAACAAGUCAGUUGCACACUCCAUUGUUCUGGAGAACGGAGUCUUAGUCAUCUUGCCCAUGAGGCAUGGUUCGCACGUGUGAAGUGAUUCGAAAUCAAGUGACUCCAAAAGCCCAUCAGCAUGGAGUUUCUUCAUGCGCUUUACACCAAUAUGACCUAAGCGGCAGUGCCGCAAAAAGGUGGCGCUAUCAUUGUUAACUCUACAUAUUUUGGUCUCAAUGUUAUGUAUAUGUGUGUCAUCACAAUCAAGAUUCAAUAUGAACAAACCCCUCACAUUGGGUGCAUGACCAUAAAAGAUAUUACUCAUAAAAAUAGAACAACCAUUAUUCUGUGACUUAAAUGAGUAACCGUCUCACAAUAAACAAGAUCCACAUAUAAUGUUCAUGCUUAACGCAUGCACUAAAUAACAAUUAUUUAAGUUCAUAACUAAUCCUGAUGGUAACUGAAGUGAGACUUUGCCGAUGGCAAUUGCAUGAACCUUGGAACCAUUUCCCACGCGCAUCGUCACUUCAUCCUUCGCAAGCCUUCGUUUAUUCCGCAGUUCCUACUUCGAGUUGCAAAUAUGAGCAACAGAACCGGUAUCAAAUACCCAGGCACUACUAUGAGAGUUGGUUAGGUACACAUCAAUAACAUGUAUAUCACAUAUACCUGGUUUGGCGUUGGCCGCCUUCUUGAUACGUCCAUUUUGCAUCAUGCUUUCAUGUUGUUAUUUAUUGCUUUAUGGGUUGUUAUUACACUUCAUGGUACAAUACUUAUGCCUUUUCUCUCUUAAUUUGCAAGGUUUACAUGAAGAGGUAGAAUGCCGGCAACUGGAAUUCUGGCCUGAAAAAGGAGCAAGUUUGAGAUACCUAUUAUGCGCAACUCCAAAAGCCGUGAAAAUCAACGAGGAUUUAUUUUGGAAUUUAUAAAAAAUACUGGGCUGAAGAAGUACCAGAGGGGAGCCAGCAGGAGGCCACAAGCCUGCUAGGCGCGACCUCCCCCCUCGCCGUGCCUAGGGGGCUUGUGAGCUUCCUGUUGGACCAGUGGCCCCCCUCCUUUGCUAUAAGGAGGGUUUCGUUCUGGAAAAAAAAUCAAAAGGAGGCUUUCGGGAGGAAUCGCCGCCGCCACGAGGCGGAACUUGAGCAGUACCAAUCUAGAGCUCCGACAGGGUCGUCCUGCCGGGGAAACUUCCCUCCCGGAGGGGGUAAUCGUCGCCAUCGUCAUCACCAACACUCCUCUCAUCGAACGGGAAUCAUCACCACCAACGUCUUCAUCAGCACCAUCUCAUCUCCAAACCCUAGUUCAUCUCUUGUAANNNNNNNNNNACGACUCCGAUUGGUACUUGUAAGGUUGCUAGUACUGUUAAUUACUCUUUGUAGCUGAUGCUAGUUAGAUUACUUGGUGGAAGAUUAUAUGUUCAGAUCCUUGAUGCUACCCAUUACCACUCUGGUCAUGAACAUGAUUAUGCUUUGUGAGUAGUCACUUUUGUUCCUGAGGACAUGGGAUAAGUCAUGCUAUAAGUAGUCAUGUGAAUUUGGUAUUCGUUCGAUAUUUUGAUGCGUUGUAUGUUGUUUUUCCGCUAGUGGUGUUAUGUGAACGUCUACUACAUAACACUUAACCAUUAUUUGUGCCUAGAGGAAGUCAUUGGGAAGUAGUAAGUAGAUGAUGGGUUGCUAGAGUGACAGAAGCUUAAACCCUAGUUUAUGUGUUGAUUCGUAAGGGGCUGAUUUGGAUCCACUAGUUCAAUGCUAUGGUUAGACUUUGUCUUAAUUCUUCUUUCGUAGUUGUGCAUGCUUGCGAGAGGGGUUAAUCAUAAGUGGGAUCCUUGUCCAAGUAAGGGCAGUACCCAAGCACCGGUCUACCCACAUAUCAAACUAUCAAAGUACCGAAUGCGAAUCAUAUGAACAUGAUGAAAACUAGCUUGACAGAAUCUCCCAUGUGUCCUCGGGAGCGCUUUAGCUCCUCUAAGAGUUUGCCCAGGCUUGUCCCUUGCUACAAAAGGGAUUGGGCCACUUUGUUGCACCGUUGUUACUAUUGUUACUUGCUACGAAUUAUCUUGUCACGCAACUACUUGUUACUGAUAAUUUCAGUACUUGUAGAGAUUACCUUGCUGAAAACCACUUGUCAGAUCCUUCUGCUCCUUGUUGGGUUCGACACUCUUACUUAUCGAAAGGACUACGAUAGAUCCCCUAUACUUGUGGGUCAUCAAGACUCUUUUCUGGCGCCGUUGCUGGGGAGUGAAGCGCCUUUGGUAAGUGGAAUUUGGUAAGGAAACAUUUAUAUAGUGUGCUGAAAUUUAUUGUCACUUGUCACUAUGGAAACUAAUCCUUUGAGGAGCUUGUUCGGGGUAUAUUCACCUCGAACGGAAGCACAAGGAGUUUCUCCUCAACCUUCUGCACCUACUGAAAAUAUUUGCUAUGAAUUUCCUUCGGGGAUGCUUGAGAAAAUGCUGGCUAAUCCUUUUACAGGAGACGGAACAUCACAUCCCGACUUGCAUCUAAUCUAUGUAGAUGAAGUUUGUGGUUUAUUUAAGCUUGCAGGUUUGCCCGAGGAUGAGGUCAAGAAGAAGGUCUUUCCUUUAUCUUUGCAGGAUAAGGCAUUGACAUGGUAUAGGCUAUGUGAUGAUACUGGAUCAUGGAACUACAAUCGGUUGAAGUUGGAAUUUCAUCAAAAGUUUUAUCCUAUGCAUUUAGUACAUCGUGAUCGGAAUUAUAUUAAUAAUUAUUGGCCUCGUGACAGAGAAAGCAUCGCUCAAGCUUAGGGGAGGCUUAAAUCAAUGCUAUAUUCAUGCCCCAAUCAUGAGCUCUCGAGAGAAAUUAUCAUUCAGAACUUCUAUGCUCGGCUUUCUCAUGAUGAUCGCACCAUGCUUGACAUUUCUUGUACCGGUUCUUUUAUGAAGAGGGAUAUUGACUUCAAAUGGAAUUUAUCGGAGAGAAUUAAAUGCAACUCUGAAGAUUGGGAGCUUGAAGAAGGUAAGGAGUGAGGUAUGAAUUUCAAGUUUGAUUGCGUUAAAUCCUUUGUUGAAACAAAUACUUUUUAUGAUUUUAGCGCUAAGUAUGGACUUGACUCUGAGAUAGUAGCUUCAUUUUGUGAAUCAUUUGCUGCUCAUAUUUAUCUCCCCAAAGAGAAGUGGUUUAAAUAUCAUCCUCCUGUAGAAGUCAAUGUAGUUAAACCCAAUCGAGUUGAAGAGAAAGUCAUAGCCUAUAAUGAUUCCGUUGUUCCCAGUGCUUACAUUGAGAAACCACCUUUCCCUGUUAGGAUAAAGGAUCAUUCUAAAGCUUCAACUGUGAUACGUAGAGGCUACAUUAGAACACAUACACCCCCUGAGCAAAUUAGAGUUGAACCUAGGAUUGCUAUUAUCAAAGAUCUCAUGUCCGACAAUAUUGAUGGCCAUGAUAUUCACUUUUGUGAAGAUGCUGCUAGAAUUGCUAAACCCCAUGCUAGAGACAAACAUAGGCCUGUUGUUGGCACGCCUGUUGUUUCUGUUAAGAUAGGAGAUCAUUGUUAUCAUGGUUUAUGUGACGUGGGUGCUAGUGUUAGUGCAAUACCUUAAUCUUUAUAGGAUGAAAUUAAAGACGAGAUUGCACCUGUCGAGAUGGAACCUAUUGAUGUCACUAUUGAGCUUGCCAAUAGAGAUACUAUCUGCCCUUUGGGAAUUGUUAGAGAUGUUGAAGUCUUGUGUGGUAAAACUAAGUAUCCUGCUGAUUUUCUCGUUCUUGCUACCCCACGAGAUAGUUUUUGUCCCAUCAUAUUUGGCAGACCUUUCCUCAAUACUGUCAAUGCUCAUAUUGACUGUGAGAAGCAAACUGUCACUGUUGGCUUUGAAGGAGUGUCACAUGAGUUCAAUUUCUCCAAGUUUGGUAGACAACCUCAUGAANNNNNNNNNNNNNNNNNNNNNNNNNNNNNNNNNNNNNNNNNNNNNNNNNNNNNNNNNNNNNNNNNNNNNNNNNNNNNNNNNNNNNNNNNNNNNNNNNNNNUUAGUAAGUAGAUGAUGGGUUGCUAGAGUGACAAAAGCUUAAACCCAAGUUUAUGUUUUGCUUCGUAAGGGGCUGAUUUGGAUCCACUAGUUUAAUGAUAUGGUUAGACUUUGUCUUAAUUCUUCUUUCGUACUUGCGGAUGCUUGUGAGAGGGGUUAAUCAUAAGUGGGAUGCUUGUCCAAGUAAGGGCAGUACCCAAGCGUCGGUCCACCCACAUAUCAAACUAUCAAAGUAACGAACGCGAAUCAUAUGAACACGAUGAAAACUAGCAUGACAGAAAUUCACGUGUGUCCUCGGUAGCGUUUUUCCUCCUAUAAGACUUUGUCCAGGCUUGUCCCUUGCUACAAAAGGGAUUGGGCCACUUUGCUNNNNNNNNNNGUUGCUACUUUUUUUACUUGUUGCUUUCUACGAAUCAUCUCACCACACAAUCACUUGUUACCGAUAAUUUCAGUGCUUGCAUAUUUUACCUUGCUGAAAACCACUUGUCAGAUCCUUCUGCUCCUCGUUAGGUUCGACACUCUUACUUAUCAAAAGGACUACGAUUGAUCCCCUAUACUUGUGGGUCAUCAAGACUCUUUUUUGGCGCCGUUGCCGGGGAGUGAAGCGCCUUUGGUAAGUGGAACUUGGUAAGGAAACAUUCAUAUAGUGUGCUGAAAUUUAUUGUCACUUGUCACUAUGGAAACUAAUCCUUUGAGGGGCUUGUUCGGGGUAUCUUCACCUCGAACGAAAGUACAAAUAGUUGCUCCUCAACCUGCUGCACCUACUGAAAAUAUUUGCUUUGAAUUUCCUUCGAGUAUGCUUGAGAAACUGCUGGCUAAUCCUUUUAUAGGAGAUAGAACAUCACAUCCAGACUUGCAUCUAAUCUAUGUAGAUGAAGUUUGUGGUUUAUUUAAGCUUNNNNNNNNNNNNNNNNNNNNNNNNNNNNNNNNNNNNNNNNNNNNNNNNNNNNNNNNNNNNNNNNNNNNNNNNNNNNNNNNNNNNNNNNNNNNNNNNNNNNGGUGAAUAUCUGAGUUUCGAGUUUGGUGCUCACUUAAGACAAUGUGGAGUUGUUUCACAGUUGACACCGCCCGGAACACCACAGCGUAAUGGUGUGUCCGAACGUCGCAAUCGUACUUUAUUAGAGAUGGUGCGAUCUAUGAUGUCUCUUACCGAUUUGCCGUUAUCGUUUUGGGGUUAUGCAUUAGAAACAGCUGCAUUCACUUUAAAUAGGGCACCAUCAAAAUCCGUUGAGACGACACCAUACGAACUGUGGUAUGGCAAAAGGCCAAAGUUGUCGUUUCUUAAAGUUUGGGGAUGUGAUGCUUAUGUCAAAAAGCUUCAGCCUGAAAAGCUGGAACCCAAAGCGGAAAAGUGCGCUUUAUAGGUUACCCAAAGGAGACAGUUGGGUACACCUUCUAUCUCAAAUCCGAGGGCAAAGUGUUUGUUUCUAAAAACGGAGCUUUUCUCGAGAAGGAGUUUCUCUCGCGAGAAUUGAGUGGGAGGAAGAUAGAACUUGACGAGGUUAUCGAACCUCUCAUCCCUCUGGAUGGUGGCACAGGGCAAGGGGAAACCUCUGUCAUUGCAACGCCGGUUGAGGAGGAAGUUAAUGAUGAUGAUCAUGAAACUCCGGUUCAAGUUUCUGUCAAACCACGCAGGUCGACGAGACCACGUGCUGCUCCAGAGUGGUACGGUAAUCCCAUCUUGUCAAUCAUGUUGUUGGACAACAAUGAACCUGCAAAUUAUGAAGAAGCAAUGGUGGGCCCAAAUUCCAACAAAUGGCUAGAAGCCAUGAAGUCCGAGAUAGGAUCCAUGUAUGAGAACAAAGUGUGGACUUUGGAGGUACUGCCUGGGGGCCGCAAGGCUAUUCAGAACAAAUGGAUCUUUAAGAGGAAGACGGACGCUGACGGCAAUGUGACCGUUUAUAAAGCACGACUUGUGGCAAAGGGUUUUUCACAAGUUCAAGGAGUUGACUACGAUNNNNNNNNNNAUUCUCACCCGUAGCGAUGCUUAAGUCCGUCAGAAUCAUGUUAGCAAUAGCUGCAUUUUUCGAUUAUGAAAUCUGGCAGAUGGAUGUCAAAACGGCGUUCCUUAACGGUUUCCUUGAGGAAUAGUUGUAUAUGAUGCAACCCGAAGGUUUUGUGGAUCCUAAGAAUGCUAACAAAGUGUGCAAGCUCCAGCGAUCCAUUUAUGGACUGGUGCAAGCAUCUCGGAGUUGGAACAAACGCUUUGAUGAGGUGAUCAAAGCAUUUGGGUUUAUACAAGUGGUUGGAGAAUCUUGUAUUUACAAGAAAGUGAGUGGGAGCUCUGUGUUGUUUCUAAUAUUAUAUGUGGAUGACAUAUUGCUGAUUGGAAACAACGUNNNNNNNNNNNNNNNNNNNNNNNNNNNNNNNNNNNNNNNNNNNNNNNNNNNNNNNNNNNNNNNNNNNNNNNNNNNNNNNNNNNNNNNNNNNNNNNNNNNNNNNNNNNNNNNNNNNNNNNNNNNNNNNNNNNNNNNNNNNNNNNNNNNNNNNNNNNNNNNNNNNNNNNNNGACCUAGGAGAAGCUGCUUACAUUCUAGGCAUUAAGAUCUACAGGGAUAGAUCAAAACGCCUCAUAGGACUUUCACAAAGCACAUACCUUGAUAAAGUUUUGAAGAGGUUCAAAAUGGAACAAUCCAAGAAAGGGUUCUUGCCAGUUUUACAAGGUACGAGAUUGAGUAAGACUCAGUGCCCAUCAACUGAUGAGGAUAUAGAGCAUAUGAGCACCGUCCCCUAUGCUUCAGCCAUAGGUACUAUCAUGUAUGCAAUGUUGUGCACUAGACCGGACGUUAGCCUGGCCAUAAGUAUGGCAGGUAGGUUCCAGAGUAAUCCAGGAGUGGAUCAUUGGACGGCGGUCAAGAAUAUCCUGAAGUACCUGAAAAGGACUAAGGAGAUGUUUNNNNNNNNNNNNNNNNNNNNNNNNNNNNNNNNNNNNNNNNNNNNNNNNNNNNNNNNNNNNNNNNNNNNNNNNNNNNNNNNNNNNNNNNNNNNNNNNNNNNGUGUAUGUUGUUUUUCCUCUACUGGUGUUAUGUGAACGUCGACUACAUAACACUUCACCAUUAUUUGGGCCUAGAGGAAGGCAUUGGGAAGUAGUAAGUAGAUGAUGGGUUUCUAGAGUGACAGAAGCUUAAACCCUAGUUUAUGCUUCGUGAGGGGCUGAUUUGGAUCCACUAGUUUAAUGCUAUGGUUAGACUUUGUCNNNNNNNNNNCCUAGUGGUGUUAUGUCAACGUCGACUACAUAACACUUCACCAUUAUUUGAGUCUAGAGGAAGGCAUUGGGAAGUAGUAAGUAGAUGAUGGGUUGCUACAGUGAUAGAAGCUUAAACCCUAGUUUAUGUGUUGCUUCGUAAGGGCCUGAUUUGGAUCCACUAGUUUAAUGCUAUGGUUAGACUUUGUCUUAAUUCUUCUUUCAUCGUUGCGGAUGCUUGCGAGAGGGGUUAAUCAUAAGUGGGAUGCUUGUCCAAGUAAGGGCAGUACCCAAGCGCUGGUCCAUCCACAUAUCAAACUAUCAAAGUAGCGAACGUGAAUCAUAUGAACAUUAUGAAAACUAGCUUGACAGAAUUUCCCAUGUGUCCUCGGGAGCGCUUUACCUCAUAUAAGACUUUGCCCAGGCUUGUCCCUUGCUACAAUAUGGAUUGGGCCAAUUUGUUGCACCGUUUCUACUUUUGCUACUUGCUACUUGCUACGAAUCAUCUUGCCACACAACUACUUGUUACCAUUAAUUUCAAUGCUUGCAGAUAUCACCUUACUGAAAACCACUUGUCAGAUCCUUCUACUCCUUGUUAGGUUCGACACUCUUACUUAUCGAAAGGACUAUGAUAGAUCCCCUAUACUUGUGGGUCAUCACGGUAAUCAAGGCCUUCUUAAGUAUUUCAAAGUCUUCCUCACAAUCAUCAUAAAAAAAAUGAAUAUCCUUUUGCAAGAGAUUGGUAAGAGGCCUAGAAAUCUUAGAAAAGUCCUUAAUGUACCUUCUAUAGAAACCAGCAUGACCAAGGAAACUUCUUAUACCUUUGAUAUCUGUAGGGCAUGGCAUUUUCUCGAUCGCAUCAACCUAAGCCUUAUCGACUUCAAUACCUCUUUCAGAAAUUUUAUGUCCUAAGACGAUGCCUUCAUUAACCAUAAAGUGGCACUUCUCCCAAUUAAAGACAAGAUUGGUAUCUUUACAUCUCUGCAAAACUCUAUCAAGGUUGCUGAGGCAAUCAUCAAAAGAAGACCCGUAAACGGAGAAGUCAUCCAUGAAAACCUCAACAAUCUCUUCACAAAAGUAAGAGAAUAUAGCCAUCAUAUGUCUUUGAAAGGUAGCAGGUGCAUUACAUAAGCCAAAAGGCAUACGUAUGUAAGCAAAGGUAUCGAAAGGGCAGGUGAAAGUGGUUUUCUCCUCAUCAGUUUGUGCAACAGGUAUUUGGGAGAAACCAAAAUAACCAUCUAGAAAGCAGAAGGGUGUGUGUUUAGAAAAUCUUUCUACAUUUGGUCAAUGAAAGUCAAAGGGUAAUGAUCUUCCCUAGUGGCUUUAUUCAAUUUCCUAAAAUCAAUCACCAUCCUAUAGCUAGUAAUAAUCCUCUGUGGGAUCAAUUCAUCUUUGUCAUUAGGGACAACGGUAAUACCUCCCUUCUUAGGGACGCAAUGCACGAGACUCACCCAAUCACUAUGACCAACAGGAUAGAUAAUACCUGCUUCUAGGAGAUUUAGUAUUUCUUUUCUUACUACCUCUUUCAUCUUAGGAUUUAAUCUCCUUUGAUGAUCAGCAACUGGUUUGGAAUCAGGAUCAACUUUAAUUUUGUGCUGGCAUAGAGUGGGACUAAUGCCCUUAAGAUCGUCAAGAGUAUAUCCAAUAGCAGCACGGUGCUUCCUCAGAGUUUUUAAUAACUUCUUUUCUUCAUGCUCUGAAAGUCUAGCACUAAUUAUAACACGAUAUAUAUAUAUAUAUAUAUUUCAUCGAUAUAAGCAUACUUAAGAGUAUCAGGUAACUGCUUAAGCUCAAACAGAGGAUCAACCUUUGGUGGGGGUGGAUCUCCAAGCAGUUCAACAAGUAAAUUAUUCUUAAGGAUAGGAUGUUGUUCAAAGAUAACUCUAUCUAUCUCAUUCCUUUCAUCCAUAUGCAUAUCAUUUUCAUGCUCAAGCAAGUAUUGCUCNNNNNNNNNNAGCAAUAGAAGCUAGAGCAAUAAUUUCAUAUUUACUAGACAACUCUUUUUCAUGAGGUUGUCUACCAAACUUGGAGAAAUUGAACUCAUGUGACACACCUUCAAAGCCAACGGUAACAGUUUGCUUCUCACAGUCAAUAUGAGCAUUGAUGGUAUUGAGGAAGGGUCUGCCAAAUAUGAUGGGACAAAAGCUAUCUUGGGUGGUAGCAAGAAUGAGGAAAUCCGCAGGAUACUUCGUUUUACCACUCAAGACAUCAACAUCCCUAACAAUUCCCACAGGGCAGAUAGUAUCUCUAUUGGCAAGCUGAAUAGUGACAUCAAUGGGUUCUAUCUUGACAGGUGCAAUCCCGUCUUUGAUUUCAUCAUAUAAGGAUUGAGGUAUUGCACUAACACUAGCACCCACGUCACAUAAACCAUGAUAACANNNNNNNNNNAUCAACUGGCUUGGAAUCAGGAUCAAUUUUAAUCUUGUGCUGGCAUAGAGUGGGACUAAUGCCCUUAAGAUCAUCAAGAAUAUAUCCAAUAGCAGCACAGUGCUUCCUCGGAGUUUUUAGUAACUUCUUUUCUUCAUGCUCUAAGAGGCUAGCACUAAUAAUAACAUGAUAUAUCUCUUUUUCAUCAAGAUAAGCAUACUUAAGAGUAUCAGGCAACUGUUUAAGCUUGAACACAUGGUCACCCUUUGGUGGGGGUGGAUCUCCAAGCAGUUCAACACGCAAAUUAUUCUUAAGAAUAGGAUAUUGUUCUAAGACAACUCUAUCUAUCUCAUGCCUUUCAUCCAUAUGCAUAUCAUUUUCAUGCUCAAGCAAGUAUUGCUCUAAAGGAUCAGUAGGAGGCACGACAAUAGAAGCUAGGGCAAUAGUUUCAUCCUUACUAGGCAACUCUUUUUCAUGAGGUUGUCUACCAAACUUGGAGANNNNNNNNNNNNNNNNNNNNNNNNNNNNNNNNNNNNNNNNNNNNNNNNNNNNNNNNNNNNNNNNNNNNNNNNNNNNNNNNNNNNNNNNNNNNNNNNNNNNCACGCAAUCAAACUUGAAAUUCAUACCCGACUCUUUACCUUCAUCAAACUCUCAAUCUUCAGAGUUGCGUUUAAUUCUUUCCAAUAAAUUCAAUUUGAAGUCAAUAUCUCUCUUCAUAAAAGAACCGGUACAAGAAGUGUCAAGCAUGGUGCGAUCAUCAUGAGAAAGCCGAGCAUAGAAGUUUUGAAUGAUAAUUUCUCUCGAGAGCUCAUGGUUGGGGCAUGCAUAUAACAUUGAUUUAAGCCUCCCCCAAGCUUGAGCGAUGCUUUCUCUGUCACGAGGCCAAAAAUUAUAAAUAUAAUUCCGAUCACGAUGUACUAGAUGCAUAGGAUAAAACUUUUGAUGAAAUUCCAAUUUCAACCGGUUGUAGUUCCAUGAUCCAGUAUCAUCACAUAGCCUAUACCAUGUCNNNNNNNNNNAACGCAAUCAAACUUCAGAUUCAUACCUGACUCCUUACCUUCAUCAAACUCCCAGUCUUCAGAGUUGUGUUUAAUUCUUUCCAAUAAAUUCCAUUUGAAGUCAAUAUCUCUCUUCAUAAAAGAACCGGUACAAGAAGUGUCAAGCAUGGUGCGAUUAUCAUGAGAAAGGCGAGCAUAGAAGUUCUGAAUGAUAAUUUCUCUCGAGAGCUCAUGGUUGGGGCAUGAAUAUAACAUUGAUUUAAGCCUCCCCCAAGCUUGAGCGGUACUUUCUCUAUCACGAGGCCAAAAAUUAUAAAUAUAAUUCCGAUCACGAUGCACCAAAUGCAUAGGAUAAAACUUCUUAUGAAAUUCCAAUUUCAAUCGGUUGUAGUUCCAUGAUCCAGUAUCAUCACAUAGCCUAUACCAUGUCAAUGCCUUAUCCUGCAAAAAUAAGGGAAAUACAUUAUUCUUUACCUCAUCCUCGGGCAAACUUGCAAGCUUAAAUAAACCACAAACUUCAUCUACAUAGAUUAGACGCAAGUCGGGAUGUGAUGUUCCAUCUCGUGUAAAAGGAUUAGCCAACAGUUUCUCUAGCAUACCCGAAGGAAUUUCAUAACAAAUAUUUUCAGUAGGUGCAGCAGGUUGAGGAGCAACUCCUUGUGCUUCCGUUCGAGGUGAAGAUACCCCGAACAAGCUCCUCAAAUGAUUAGUUUCCAUAGUGACAAGUGAGAAUAAAUUUCAGCACACUAUAUAAAUGUUUCCUUACAAAAUUCCACUUACCGAAGACUCUUCACUCCCCGGCAACAGCGCCAGAAAAGAGUCAUGAUCACCCAAAAGUGUAGGGGAUCUAUCAUAGUCCUUUCGAUAUGUAAGAGUGUCGAACCCAACGAGGAGCACAAGGAUCUGGCAAGUGGUUUUCAACAAGGUAUUCUCUGCAAGCACUGAAAUUAUCGGUAACAGAUAGUUGUGUGAUAAGAUCAUUCAUAGCAAGUAGCAAGUAACAAUAGUAAAAAAGGUGCAGCAAGAUGGCCCAAUCCCUUUUGUAUCAAGGGACAAGCCUGGACGAACUCUUAUAGGAGGUGAAGCGCUCCCGAGGACACAUGGGAAUUUUGUCAAGCUAGUUUUCAUCAUGUUCAUAUGAUUCGCGUUCGCUACUUUAAUAGUUUGAUAUGUGGGUGGACCGGUGCUUGGGUGCUGCCCUUACUUGGACAAACAUCCCAAUUAUGAUUAACCCCUCUCGCAAGCAUCCUCAACUACGAAAGAAGAAUUAAGACAAAGUCUAACCAUAGCAUUAAACUAGUGGAUNNNNNNNNNNUACGAAGCAACGCAUAAACUAGGGUUUAAGCUUAUGUCACUCUAGCAACCCAUCAUCUACUUAUUACUUCUCAAUGCCUUCCUCUAGGCCCAAAUAAUGGUGAAGUGUUAUGUAGUCGACGUUUGCGUAACACCACUAGAGUAGAGACAACAUACAACACAUCAAAAUAUCGAACGAAUACCAAAUUCACAUGACUACUUAGAGCAAGACUUAUCACAUGUCCUCAGGAACAAAAGUGGCUACUCACAAAGCAUAAUUAUGUUCAUGAUCAGAGAGGUAUUUAAUAGCAUCAAUGAUGUGAACAGAUAAUAUUCCACCGAGUAAUCCAACUAGCAUCAACUACAAAGAGUAAUUAACACUACUAGCAACCUUACAGGUACCAAUCGGAGUCGCAAGACGGAGAUUGGUCACAAGAGAUGAACUACGGUUUGGACAUGAGUUGGUGUUGAUGAAGAUGUUGAUGGUGAUGAGUCCCCUCCGACGAGAGGAGUGUUGGUGAUGACGAUGGCGACGAUUUCCCCCUCUCGGAGGGAAGUUUCCCCGGCAGGAUGGCCGUGCCGGAGCUUUAGAUUGGUUCUGCUCAAGUUCCGCCUCGUGGCGGCGGCGNNNNNNNNNNGGCCUCCUCCUGAUUUUUUAUGGAACGUAACCCUCCUUAUAACAAAAGAUAGGAGCGAGAGGGGCAACAGGGGGCCCACAAGCCCCCUAGGCGCGGCUAGGGGGGUAGGUCGCGCCUAGCAGGCUUGUGCCCUCCUGGUGGCUCCCCUGUGGUACUUCUUCCGCCAAGUAUUUUUUAUAAAAUACAAAAUAAUUCCUCGUUGAUUUUCACAGCUUUUGGAGUUGUGCAGAAUCGGUAUCUCAAACUUGCUCUUUUCAGACCAAAAUUCCAGCUGCCGGCAUUCUCCCUCUUCAUGUAAACCUUGUAAAAUAAGAGAGAAAAGGCAUAAGUAUUGUACCGUGAAGUGUAAUAACAGCCCAUAAAGCGAUAAAUACCAACAUAAAAGCAUGAUGCAAAAUGGACGUAUCAUGCAUCCCUAACAUUGCGAUUGUAUCCAUGUGGACAACCGGCGGCUUGUCGUGGUGGUUGUUGUUCGUGGUGCUGAACUAGAGCAACCUCUCUCUCAUCAUCAUAAUCCUUAUUGUGCUCAGCCAUAGAAACCUCGGCAGUAGCAGCAGGAGGAGCAGCAGCAAGAGCAGCAACAGCAUUAGUAGCAACAACACCAAAAUUAUGCACUUGUCUAACACACACACGUCACGCUCAUAGCUGUUGUGGUUGUGGUUGAAGAGGGACAGAAGCUGCAGCUGGUGGUGGUAAAUGCGCAAGCACCUCAUCGAACUUGGCGUUCAUCUUGGUGUCAAAUUUCUUCUCCAUACCUUCGAGAUUUCCAAGGCCUCGCCAAUGAUGGUCACGAAAUCCUGUACCUGGUCAGACAUCAUUUGCUGAAAUUUAUCAUGGAGCUCCCGGUUGGUCAGGUUCUCCCAGUCGAUCUCCCCGUCGUGUGAUCCUCGCAUGGUUAGCAGCAAUAGGAACACAGAAGAAUAUGAACCUACAGACUACUAGGAAGUGGUGGUGGUGGUGGUGUGUCACAAAUCCGUCAAGCAAAUCCCAAUUUCUUACCAAUUCUUACCUAGCAGGAGGUGGCGAUCGGCAAUCGGUGUAGUCAAAACUCUCAAAGCUUGGAUAGAGCGAUUGCGAGGUGGUGUCAAACACAUAAUGUGCUCGGAAGGCUUAUAAUAUGGUAGCAAGAAGGGUCAACAAUAAUCAGUUCAGAAAUGCAAAAUUGAAAGACGCUCAACAACGGUACUGUGCUGGUCCUAGGCUAGACCGUACUAGAGACGUGAGCCUAGAACACCAACGAAGUCACGAUGACACGUACUAAUCAAGGGAAGAGCCACUCUGAUUUUCCCCCCUCUUUUUUUGCGCUUUUAUUUUUUUACAAAAUCACUAUAAUGGUGAGUGUCUCAAAACUCUUCCCAAGGACAAAAAACAGGAUAGGCACGAAAAAAAUUGACAAUUUUUUUAAAUUUCUGGAGCAAUUUGGGGCUACGACGACCAAAAAUUGCGACAAAAAUCACUAUGAUGGCGAGUGUCUCAAAACUCUCUAAAAAGCCUAACAAAACGAUAGGGAUUAUUUUUCACCCCUCGAAAUUUUGACUUAAAAGUGCUCGGGAAAGCGUGCCAGACUUUUUUUUUGAUACCUACUCAGGUAAUGAAACGUGAAACCGAAAGCAAAAGGAUCUUGAAAUUAACCUAAGGCAGAAAGGAUUGUGGUGGAUAUAUGGUGGUGGUAUAUGGCAACAAGGAUAAUGGUGGCGUGGUGGUGGUAUAUGGCAGCAGCAAUGAUGGUAACGUGGAGGUGGUAUAUGGCAGCGAUGAAAGUUGGUGCAGUGGCGGCGUGACAACGUGUGAACAGAACUCGAAACUCUAAAGAACUACUCCCUCCGUUCCUAAAUAUAAGUCUUUCUAGAGUUUUAACUAAUGGACUACAUACGGAUGUAUAUAGACAUACUUUAGAGUAUAGAUUCAUUCAUUUUGCUCCGUAUGUAGACACCUAAUGAAAUAUCUUAAAAGACUUAUAUUUAGGUACGGAGGAAGUAGACACUAAGACCAGCAACUCGACACGAUGAUGUAACCGCAGUUUCAACAAAGCAAACUAUUGAAAAGACUAUGCAAAAGCUCACAUUGGUUCGGAUAUGAUGAUCUAACCCUAAUUUUUUUAAUGGCUUUUUCUUGGACUAUAGGUAUGAAGAUAGAUGCGAUUUAACCUGGAAAUCUCACCAACAACCUGGAAAUCUGAUACCACUUGAUAAAGGCGAAGUUGUCCCUAUCUUUCGAUGAGAUCGUGGGUAUCGUUUUGGUGGAGUAGACUUUGACGAUCCAAGUACGAACGUGUGAGGACGUCGCGCCUUAGCAAUCGCUAAACCAACUCCGAGAGGUUAUUGACCACGCCGGAGCACGAUCAACUUGACCACGAAGGUCUGUUUCCUGCACGCAAACGAAGAACAAGCAAGAAACUAAGAUGCAAUCAAGAUAUUACGAAUAUAAGUGGAAAGCUUUAUUGAUGAAGGUGGGGUUCUGUGACGCCUUUGUCUGGUCGUGGAACACAAACGAAGAACGCAAAGUUGCAGCUAUGGUGAACUUGUAAUCUAAACAAAACCCAAGUCUAAACGGUGCCCUAAGGGUUGUAUAUAUGAGGGAACAGAUAGGCAAUUUCGUGACUGAUACGUCUCCAACGUAUCUAUAAUUUUUGAUGGUUUCAUGCUAUUAUCUUGUCAAACUUUGGAUGUUUUGUAUGCCUUUUAUAUAUUUUUUGGGACUAACUUAUUAACCAAGUGCCAAGUGCCAGUUCCUGUUUUUUCCAUGUUUUUGACCCCUUUCAGAGGAGGAUUUUGAACGGAGUCCAAACGGAAUGAAACUGCCAAAACGAUUUUUUUUCGGAACAGAAAAAGAUCGGUGAGCUGGAGAAUCGAGGAAGGGGGCCACCAGGGACCCCACAAGCCCUCACGGCGCGGCCAGGGGGGGAGGCCGCGGUCUCUGGCUUGUGGGCUCCCUGAGGCUCCGUUGCCCUAGGUUUUGCGCCUAUAUAUUCCCAAAAAUUCCAUAAAAAUGAGGAGAUCAUCGAAAGUACUUUUCCGCCGCCGCAAGCUUCUGUCUCCGCAAGAUCCCAUCUGGGGCACGUUCUAGUGCCCUGCCAGAGGGGGGAUUCAGACACGGAGGGCUGCUUCAUCAACACCAUGACCUCUUCGAUGAUGCGUGAGUAGUUCACCAUAGACCUACGGGUCCAUAGCUAGUAGCUAGAUGGCUUCUUCUCUCUAUUGGAUCUUCAAUACAAAUUUCUCCAUGAUCUUCAUGGAGAUCUAUCCGAUGUAAUAUUCUUUUGCGGUGUGUUUGUCGAGAUCCGAUGAAUUGUGGAUUUAUGAUCCGAUUAUCUAUGAAUCUUUCUUCUGAUCUCUCUUAUGCAUGAUUUCAUAUCCUUGUAAUUCUCUUCGAGUUGUGGGUUUUGUUUGGCCAACUAGAUCUAUGAUUCUUGCAAUGGGAGAAGUGCUUGGUUUUGGGUUCAUACUGUGCGGUGACCUCACCCAGUGACAGAAGGGGUAGCGAGGCACGCAUCGUGUUGUUGCCAUCAAGGGUAAAAAGAUGGGGUUUUCAUCAUUGGUUUGAGAUCAUCCCUCUACAUCAUGUCAUCUUGCUUAAAGCAUUACUCUGUUCGUCAUGAACUCAAUACACUAGAUGCAUGAUGGAUAGCGGCCGAUGUGUGGAGUAAUAGUAGUAGAUGCAGAAAGUAUCGGUCUACUUGUCUCGGACGUGAUGCCUAUAUGUAUGAUCAUUCCCUUAGAUGUCGUCAUGACUUUGCACGUUUCUAUCAAUUGCUCGAAAGUAAUUUGUUCACCCACCGUGAUAUUUGCUAUUUUGAGAGAAGCCUCUAGUGAACACUAUGGCCCCCAGGUCUACUCCACACCAUAUUUUCAGCCUUACACUUUUUACUUCGUUGCACUUUCCGCCUUCAGAUCUCACUUUGCAAACAAUCUUGACGGGAUUGACAACCCCUUUAUAGCGUUGGGUGCAAGCUAUUUUGUGUUUGCGCAGGUACUCUGGACUUGACGAGAUUCUCCUACUAGAUUGAUACCUUGGUUCUCAAACUAAGGGAAAUACUUACUGCUCCUGUGCUGCAUCACCCUUUCCUCUUCAGGGGAAAAAGCAACGCAAGCUCAAGAGACGACAGAAGGAUCUCUGGCACCAUUGCCAGGGAAGUACUUUUGUUGAUGUAGCAGUGACCCUUGGAGGAGGGGUCUGAAAACAUCCCUAAACUCGGUUUCCCCACACAUACAUAGAGUGCGAAAAUCAUGAGUGGAAGCUCCAUUGUUCUCUCCCACGCGUGCAACUUCUUCUCCAUGCUUGAUCCCGCUCCAACGGAUAUCCUUCUUGUCCAUGCUAGGUCCUUCAUUCAUGAGCACAACAAAAGUAUCUAACUUAGGCAGCAUCAUAUGUUCAUGAACAUUAGAAGUAUUCCCAAGAAACGAAAGUACAUGGUAAUUCAAUUGGCAUGCACGAGCUCUAGUAACUGGUCUAGUAUGUAUAGCAGCUGGGGCUGUGGGUGUAACAAUGGUGUUGAUGUCCUCAUCAGCAUGCAUAUCCACAGUCACCCCCACGUUGUUUAGUCGUGUGCCCGAGCUCCGUCGGAACCUUCUUCCUCUUUUGGAUGAGAUACACCAUCGUGGAGGUCCUGAUUCGUUGCUAGCGACUUCUUCCUUGACUUCGAGCGUUGGAGAUCCUCAUCGUUGAUUCGCCGACCACAGCGCGUCCCCGGCCAUGUCGCCGAUGCCUACGCAUCCGUUGUGAACCCAUGGUUCAUCCCCCUUGCUUCCGCAUUCUUCUGCGCCGUCUAGUGAUACGUCUCCGUCGAUCUAGUUUUCCGAACUCUUUUGCCCUUGUUUUGGACUCUAAUUUACAUGAUUUGAAUGGAACUAACUGAUACGUCUCCAAUUUAUCUAUAAUUUUUAUGGUUCCAUGUUAUUAUCUUGUCAACUUUGGAUGUUUUAUAUGCGUGAAUAUGCUAUUUUAUAUCUUUUUUGGGAGUAACCUAUUAACUCAGUGCCAAGUGCCAGUUUCUGUUUUUUCCGUGUUUUUGGCCCAUUUUCAGACGGAGUCCAAAUGGAAUGAAACUUUACGAUGAUUUUUUUUGGACCAAAAGAGACCCCCGAAGCUUUGGAAGAAGGCUAGAAGAGCCACGAGGGACUCACAAGCCCUGACGCCGCCACCACCCCCCUAGGUGGCGCAUGGCAGGCUUGUGACCUCCUAGUGGGCCCAACCGACGUAAUUCCACCGCCAUAAAUUCCUAUAAAUUCAGAAACCUCCAGAAAGAAACCUAGAUCGAGAGUUCCGCUGCCGCAAGCCUCUGUAGCCACCAAAAACCAAUUUGGAGCCCGUUCCGGCACCCUGCCGGAGGGGGAAUCCAUCUCCGGUGGCCAUCUUCAUCAUCCCGGCGAUCUCCAUGAUGAGGAGGGAGUAGUUCUCCCUCGGGGUUGAGGGUAUGUACCAGUAGCUAUGUGUUUGAUCUCUCUCUCUCUCUCGUGUUCUUGAGAUGUCUUGAUCUCGAUGUACCAUGGGCUUUGCUACUAUAGUUGGAUCUUAUGAUGUUCUUCCCCCUCUCCCUCUUGUAAUUAAUUGAGUUUCCCCUUUGGAGUUAUCUUAUCGGAUUGAGUCUUUGAGAACACUUGAUGUAUGUCUUGCACGUGUCUAUCUGUUGUGAUCAACUUGCGGGUUGUGACAAUUGGGAACCUAUGCAUAUGGGUUGGCACACGUGGAUCCAUGUGAGUACUCAAUGUAUGGUUUGGUGAUCAACUUGCCGGUUCGUGACAUUAGGAACCUAUGCAUAGGGGUUGGCACACGUUUUGACUCUCNNNNNNNNNNNNNNNNNNNNNNNNNNNNNNNNNNNNNNNNNNNNNNNNNNNNNNNNNNNNNNNNNNNNNNNNNNNNNNNNNNNNNNNNNNNNNNNNNNNNACAGCGUGAAACCAUAAAAAAUUAUAGAUACGUUUGAGACAUAUCACCGGUCCACCCACAUAUCAAACUAUGAAAGUAGCGAACGCGAAUCAUAUGAAUAUAAUGAAAACUAGCUUGACAUAAUUUCCCAUGUGUCCUCAGGAGUGCUUUACCUCCUAUAAGAUUUGUCCAGGCUUGUCCCUUGCUACAAAAGGGAUUGGGCCACUUUGCUGCACCAUUGUUACUUUUGUUACUUGCUACUUGAUGCGAAUCAUCUUGUCACACAACUACUUGUUACCGAUAAUUUCAGUGCUUGCAGAGAUUACCUUGUUGAAAACCACUUGUCAGAUCCUUAUGAUCCUCGUUGGGUUCGACACUCUUACGUAUCGAAAGGACUACGAUAGAUCCCCUAUACUUGUGGGUCAUCACAAAACAACUUCACGAGUGAGAUAAGUAUUACGAACACGAGUUAUUUCACAUAACCUCAAGAGCUCGAUCAAGGAUGGAGGUAAAAGGUGAAGGUAGGGUUGAAGAAAAUUCUCUUCCUCAGUUUCUUCCUUGUUGAGCACAGAUUGCCCUUCGUCCAACGCCGGAUUCUUCUCCUUACGUUUGCCCUUAGUUUCUUUAGGCAGCCUUUCCUUGGCCUCCAUGACCUGCAUUCUUUUCAGAUCAGCAUUUACUUCUUCAUAGACUUGAGGGAGAUCGUUCUCCCCCACAGACUCUUGAGACGACAUCUUGCUCUAAAUUUGCGGCAGAAAACAGGCUCGAAACGAAAACAGAGGAAAAUUGCGUGAUACGAGGGUCAGACCUUUCGGGAGAAUAUAUAAUGAAUUUUUUCGACCAGAAGGAGUACUCUGCAAGAAAACGGAGUCCCGGAGGCACACGAGGUGGUCACAAGCCCCCCAGGCACGGCCAGGGGGGUGGCCCGCACCUGGCAGGCUUGUCGCCUCCUCGUGCGCUUAUCCGCACUGCUUUAAAUUUUUCUAUUUUUCUAAAAAAUCCAAAACGGAGGAAAAAUCCUACUGGAAAAGUUUUCGAGUCGGUUUACUUACCGAAUCACAUACCUCUUCGUUUUUUGAGUCUGAAACAGGCUCAUAAAUAUCCCUUAGAUACUCCUUCGGAGUUAUGGUAUUGAUAAUAUUGCUUUCAACAUUUAUGGGAGUACCUGAGAUAUAAUGCUUGAUUCUCUGCCCAUUUACCACUCUUGGAAAAUUACCUUCCGUGUUGUUGAUCUUGAUGGCACCAAAACGAUAUACUUCCUCAACAAUGUAAGGACCUUCCCGUUUAGAGAGAAGCUUGCGUGCAAAAAAUAUUAAACGAGAAUUAUAUAGCAAGACAUGAUCACCUACAUUGAACUCACGUUUCUGUAUCCUUUUAUCAUGCCACCUCUUAACCUUUUCUUUGAACAACUUGNNNNNNNNNNCUCUCCAUUCAUCAAGCGAGCUAAUAUCAAAUAACCUCUUCUCACCAGCAAGUUUGAAAUCAAAGUUGAGCUCUUUGAUUGCCCAAUAAGCCUUAUGCUCUAGCUCAAGAGGUAAAUGACAUGCUUUGCCAUAAACCAUUUUGUACGGAGACAUGCCCAUGGGAUUCUUAUAAGCAGUUUUAUAAGCCCACAAUGCAUCAUCGAGCUUCUUAGACCAAUUCUUCCUAGACCUAUUAACAGUAUUUUGCAGAAUUAAUUUAAUAUCUCUAUUGCUUAGUUCUACUUGACCACUAGACUAAGGGUGAUAGGGAUGCAAUUCUAUGAUUGACAUUGUACUUAACGAGCAUUUUAUGGAAAGCGCCAUGAAUGAAAUGUGAACCACCAUGAGUCAUUAGAUAUCUAGGGACUCCAAAUCUAGGGAAAAUAACUUCUUUAAGCAUCCUGAUAGAGGUGUUGUGAUCAACACUACUAGUUGGGAUAGCUUCUACCCACUUAGUAACGUAAUUAACAACAACUAGGAUAUGAGUAUACCCGUUGGAUUUUGGAAAAUGUCCCAUAUAAUCAAAACCCCAAACAUCAAAUGGUUCAAUGACAAGUGAAUAAUUCAUAGGAAUUUCCUGACGUUUACCGAUAUUACCUAUUCUUUGACAUUCCUCACAAGACAAGACAAACUUACGGGCAUCCUUGAAGAGAGUGGGCCAAUAGAAACCUGAUUGCAAUACCUUGUGUGCAGUUCUAUCUUCCGCAUGGUGUCCUCCGUAAGCCUCAGAGUGACACUUCUGUAGGAUUUGUCCCGGUUCAUGUUCAGGUACAUAAUGUCUAAUAACACCAUCUACUCCUUGCUUAUAAAGGUGAGGAUCAUCCCAGAAGUAAUGUCUCAAAUCAAAGAAGAAUUUCUUCUUUUGCUGGUAUGUGAAACUAGGUGGUAUAUAUUAGGCAAUGACAUAAUUUGCAUAAUCAGCAUACCAUGGUGUACUACGUGAAGUGUUGAUGACAUUUAAUUGCUCAUCAGGAAAGCUAUCAUCAAUAGGUUGUAGGUCAUCAAGAACAUUCUCCAACCUAGACAAGUUAUCUGCUACGGGGUUAUCAGCAACCUUCCUGUCGACAACAUGCAAAUCAAAUUCUUGUAGCAAGAACCCAUCUGAUAAGUCUAGGUUUAGCGUAUUUCUUUUCCAUGAGGUACUUAAUAGGAGCGAGUGUGAAUAGUGACUUUGGAAUCAACUAUGUAAGAUCUGAACUUUUCACAUGCAAACACUGUUGGGGAACGUCGCAUGGGAAACAAAAAAAUUCCUACGCGCACGAAAACCUAUCAUGGUGAUGUCCAUCUACGAGAGGGGAUGUUCGAUCUACGUACCCUUGUAGACCGCACAACACAAGCGUUAGUGAACGCGAUUGGUGUAGUGGAACGUCCUCACGUCCCUCGAUCCGCCCCGCGAACCGUCCUGCGAUCAGUCCCACGAUCUAGUGCCGAACAGACGGCACCUCCGCGUUCAGCACACGUACAGCUCGACGAUGAUCUCGGNNNNNNNNNNUGAUCUCGUCUCAGCAGGGCUCCGCCCGAGCUCUGCAAAAACGCGAUCUAGAGGAAAAACCGUGGAGGUAUGUGGCCGGGCUGCCGUGGAAAAGUCGUCUCAANNNNNNNNNNAGAGAGGUAGAUGAGUUCUCCAGCAGCGUGACGGCGCUCCGGAGGUUGGUGGUGAUCUAAUAUCAGCAGGGCUCCGCCCGAGCUCCGCAGAAACGCGAUCUAGAGGUAAANNNNNNNNNNUGCACAGCAGAAGCGUUAGUGAACGCGGUUGACGUAGUGGAACAUCCUCACGUCCCUCGAUCCGCCCCACGAACCGUCCCUCGAUCAGUCCCACGAUCUAGUGCCGACCGGACGGCACCUCUGCGUUCAACACACGUACAGCUCGACGAUGAUCCCGGCCUUCUUGAUCCAGCAAGAGAGACGGAGAGGUAGAUGAGUUCUCCGGCAGCGUGACGGCGCUCCGAAGGUUGGUGGUGAUCUAAUCUCAGCAGGGCUCCGCCCGAGCUCCGCAGAAACGCGAUCUAGAGGUAAAACCGUGGAGAUAUGUGGUCGGGCUGCCGUGGCAAAGUUGUCUCAAAUCAGCCCUAAAACCUCCGUAUAUGUAGGGGGAAGAGGGGGGGCCUUGCCUUGGGGUCCAAGGACCCCCAAGGACUUCGUCCGAGCCAAGGGGGGCAACCCUCCCCUUCCAAACCGAGUCCAACUAGGNNNNNNNNNNUGACUUGGCCGGGCUGCCGUGGAAAAGUCGUCUCAAAUCAGCCCUAAAACCUCCGUAUAUAUAGGUGAGAGAGGGGGGCCUUGCCUUGGGGCUCAAGGAGCCCCAAUGGGGUCGGCCGAGCCAAGGGGGGAAGGUCUACCCCCCCCCCCAAACCGAGUUGGACUUGGUUUGGNNNNNNNNNNAUAGGGGGAGAGGGGGAGCCUUGCCUUGGGGUCCAAGGACUCCCAAGGACUUCGGCCGAGCCAAGNNNNNNNNNNGGGAGGAGGAGGAGACUUGCCUUGGGGUCCAAGGACCCCCAAGGACUUCGGCCGAGCCAAGGGGGGCAACCCUCCCCUUCCAAACNNNNNNNNNNNNNNNNNNNNNNNNNNNNNNNNNACCUCCUUUUUUUUCUUUCUCUUUGAUUUUUCUUCCAAUGCGCAUAGGGCCCUUUUGGGCUGUCCCACCAGCCCACUAAGGACUGGUGCGCCACCCUCAAGGCCUAUGGGCUUCCCCGGGGUGGGUUGCCCCCCCCCCCCCCNNNNNNNNNNUUUCUCUUUGAUUUAUUCCUAUGGCGCAUAGGGCCUUCUUGGGCUGUCCCACCAGCCCACUAAGGGCUGGUGCGCCACCCCCAAGGCCUAUGGGCUUCCCCGGGGUGGGUUGUCCCCCCGAUGAACACCCGGAACCCAUUCGUCAUUCCCGGUACAUUCCCGGUAACUCCGAAAACCUUCCGGUAAUCAAAUGAGGUCAUCCUAUAUAUCAAUCUUCGUUUCCGGACCAUUCCGGAAACCCUCAUGACGUCAUUGAUCUCAUCCGAGACUCCGAACAACAUUCGGUAACCAACCAUAUAACUCAAAUACGCAUANNNNNNNNNNCUUCCAGACCAUUCCGGAAACCCUCGUGACGUCUGUGAUCUCAUCCGGGACUCCGAACAACAUUCGGUAACCAACCAUAUAANNNNNNNNNNGUGACGUCCGUGAUCUCAUCCGGGACUCCGAACAACAUUCGGUAACCAACCAUAUAACUCAAAUACGCAUAAAACAACGUCGAACCUUAAGUGUGCAGACCCUGCGGGUUCGAGAACUAUGUAGACAUGACCCAAGAGACUCCUUGGUCAAUAUCCAAUAGCGGGACCUGGAUGCCCAUAUUGGAUCCUACAUAUUCUACGAAGAUCUUAUCGUUUGAACCUCAGUGCCAAGGAUUCAUAUAAUCCNNNNNNNNNNAUCGGUCAAUAUCCAAUAGCGGGACUUGGAUGCCCAUAUUGGAUCCUACAUAUUCAACGAAGAUCUUAUCGUUUGAACCUCAGUGCCAAGGAUUCAUAUAAUCCCGUAUGUCAUUCCCUUUGUCCUUCGGUAUGUUACUUGCCCGAGAUUCGAUCGUCAGUAUCCCCAUACCUAUUUCAAUCUCGUUUACCGGUAAGUCUCUUUACUCGUUCUGUAAUACAAGAUCCCGCAACUUACACUAAGUUACAUUGCUUGCAAGGCNNNNNNNNNNAUCAGUAUCCGCAUACCUAUUUCAAUCUAGUUUACCGGCAAGUCUCUUUACUCGUUCCGUAAUACAAGAUCCCGCAACUUACACUNNNNNNNNNNAACCUAUUUCAAUCUCGUUUACCCGCAAGUCUCUUUACUCGUUCCGUAAUACAAGAUCCCGCAACUUACACUAAGUUACAUUGCUUGCAAGGCUUGUGUGUGAUGUUGUAUUACCGAGUGGGCCCCGAGAUACCUCUCCGUCACACGGAGUGACAAAUCCCAGUCUUGAUCCAUACUAACUCAACGAACACCUUCGGAGAUACCUGUAGAGCAUCUUUAUAGUCACCCAGUUACGUUGCAACGUUUGAUACACACAAAGCAUUCCUCCGGUGUCAGUGAGUUAUAUGAUCUCAUGGUCAUAGGAACAANNNNNNNNNNUAGUUAUGUUGCGACGUUUGAUACACACAAAGUAUUCCUCUGGUGUUAGUGAGUUAUAUGAUCUCAUGGUCAUAGGAACAAAUACUUGACACGCAGAAAACAGUAGCAACAAAAUGACAUGAUCAACAUGCUACGUUUAUUAGUUUGGGUCUAGUCCAUCACGUGAUUCUUCUAAUGACGUGAUCCAGUUAUCAAACAACAACACCUUGUUCAUAAUCAGAAGACACUGAUUAUCUUUGAUCAACUGGCUAGCCAACUAGAGGCUUGCUAGGGACNNNNNNNNNNUUAUUAGUUUGGGUCUGGUCCAUCACGUGAUUCUCCUAAUGACGUGAUCUAGUUAUCAAACAACAACACCUUGUUCAUAAUCAGAAGACAUUGAUUAUCUUUGAUCAACUGGCUAGCCAACUAGAGGCUUGCUAGGGACNNNNNNNNNNUAUAAUCAGAAGACACUGACUAUCUUUGAUCAACUGGCUAGCCAACUAGAGGCUUGCUAGGGACAGUGUUUUGUCUAUGUAUCCACACAUGUAAAUGAGUCUUCAUUCAAUACAAUUAUAGCAUGGAUAAUAAACGAUUAUCUUGAUACAGGAAUUAUAAUAAUAACUAUAUUUAUUAUUGCCUCUAGGGCAUAAUUCCAACAAACACGACUGCUAAAAAUUCCUUUUUAGUAGUAGCAUAGUUUCUUUGGGCACUCUCUAGAGUUUUACUAGCAUAGUGAAUAACAUUCAACUUCUUAUCAACUNNNNNNNNNNGAGGUGGUUGAACAAUAGGUGCAGUUAUCAAGGCCUUCUUAAGUAUUUCGAAGGCUUCCUCACAAUCAUCGUCAAAAACAAAAGGAAUAUCCUUUUGCAAGAGAUUGGUAAGAGACAUAGAAAUCUUAGAGUAGUCUUUAAUGAACCUCCUAUAGAAACCAACAUGACCUAGGAAACUUCUUAUACCUUUGAUAUCUGUGGGGUAUGGCAUUUUCUCGAUUGCAUCAACCUUAGCCUUAUCGACUUNNNNNNNNNNNNNNNNNNNNNNNNNNNNNNNNNNNNNNNNNNNNNNNNNNNNNNNNNNNNNNNNNNNNNNNNNNNNNNNNNNNNNNNNNNNNNNNNNNNNAAAUUCAAGACAAGAUUGGUGUCCUUACAUCUCUGCAAGACACGAUCAAUGUUGCUGAGGCAAUCAUCAAAAGAAGACCCGUAGACGGAGAAGUCAUCCAUGAAAACCUCAACAAUCUUUUCACAAAAGUCAGAGAAUAUAGCCAUCAUACAUCUUUGAAAGGUAGCAGGUGCAUUACACAAGCCAAAAAGCAUACGUCUAUAAGCAAAGGUACUGAAAGGGCAGGUGAAAGUGGUUUUGCCUGAUCAGCUUGUGCAACUGGUAUUUGGGAGAAACCAGAAUAACCGUCUAGAAAGCAGAAGUGUGUGUGUUUAGACAGUCUUUCUAGCAUUUGGUCAAUAAAAGGCAAAGGGUAAUGAUCUUUCCUAGUGGCUUUAUUCAAUUUCNNNNNNNNNNAGUGACGCAAUGCACCGGACUCACCCAAUCACUAUGAGCAACAGGAUAGAUAAUACCUGCUUCGAGGAGCUUUAGUAUUUCUUUUCUUACUACCUCUUUCAUCUUAGGAUUUNNNNNNNNNNCCUAUAGCCAGUAUUAAUCCUCUGUGGGAUCAAUUCAUCCUUAUCAUUAGGGACAACGGUAAUACCUCCCUUCUUUGGGAUGCAAUGCACCGGACUCACCCAAUCACUAUGAGCAACAUGAUAGAUAAUACCUACUUCCAGGAGCUUUAGUAUUUCUUUUCUUACUACCUCUUUCAUCUUAGGAUUUNNNNNNNNNNNNNNNNNNNNNNNNNNNNNNNNNNNNNNNNNNNNNNNNNNNNNNNNNNNNNNNNNNNNNNNNNNNNNNNNNNNNNNNNNNNNNNNNNNNNGCUUCUCUUAGUUUUGUCAAUUCCGUGUUUACUGCCUCCUAGUUUUCCGGUGUGAUGGGGGUCGCCAUGAGCCUUGUAAUUUCCGCUGCUAAUUCCACCAAGACAGCGGCCGGGCUUCUAGAUGUCUCGCCAGUUCCCACCCCGCGUGUCGGGUUUGGCAAGGGUUGAGUUGCCCCAGCCAUGUAAAUGGCGAUCUGACGGCAGGUUCGGUCAAGGACUUCGGGGUCCAUGGCCAGUGACAAGCCCCCAAGACAAUACCCAUGUAGGGACUGGAUUGAAUCCGAAUCGCCCAUGGACGACUCGUCAUCAGUGUUGACCGGUGUGGUUUCCUGGGUCGCUGAGUGUUCUGGUUCCUCCGAUCCCUGCGUGAAUCCAACAAAGACCGGGUGAGUUAGAUUUGGCGUCACCAUUGGGCGGACGUACCUGACCGGCUCGACGAUGUCGGUGGAGAUGUCCGGCUCGGGCAUGGAUGAUCCAAUCAUGCCGAUGAAGACGCUGAUCUUGCCGAAGGGGACCCUGUAACCAGAUUCGAUCGAAUCCGCCUCGGGCCCCCAUAGCAGGUUGUUGAUGUAGUACUUUCCACGGCGGCUCCGAGUCAUGAGCCCCGUCACGUAGCUCCCAAACCCUGGUAGGGCUCCCUUUGAGAACUCAACUCCACCGUGCGCAGGCCCCACGGUGGGCGCCAACUGUCGUGGUUUUGUCACGGCAGAUGUCCUCGUGAAAGGACUUAGUAUUGGAGCCAUCACACCUUGGUGGCGACUCAAAGGGGUUGAACGGGAGUGAGACGGCGAUUUACCCAGGUUCGGCCCCUCGUGAGGAGGUAAAAGCCUACGUCCUGCUUUCUGUUGUAUUGAUGGAGUUUUGAUUACAAGGAGGGCGUAACUCGCCAGACCUAGCACUUGAUGAUUUCUAACCUACCCUAUUCUUCCCUCGGACUCGCCUUUAUAUACAGGUCGAGUCCCUAGGGUUUACAAGGGUAUUUUCCUUUCUACAAACCGUGACUCUUACGAUCUCUAAGUCGCCAUCUUUCCAAAGCUUGGAGACCUUCCGGAAGUUGUAAACCGCCAAACAACCUUCGGUCUCGCCAGGCCAAGGCCCGAACCAUAUUUUAGAUGAAUCGCCAGAUUUGGUGACCCGACCCAACUAGGGCGGGUUAUCAAUAGAUAAUAUCCCUAACAUUAGGCCCCAGAUUGACUUGAAUUUUCUUCACGCCAAUAUCCUUACUCAAUUAAGGGCGAUUCAUUUUUCAUCCUCUUUUAUACGCCAUGAACUUAACCCGCCAUCUGUUGUGGAAAACUUAAGUCACCAAACCAUUUCUUGUUGGUACCUUCUUAUCCCUUGAAUUCCGAAAAAGAUAAUGACGUAAUCCCAACGGAUCCUUCGGUAUCGUUAUCCCAAAAAUUUCGGAGCGCCAUCAUGGCGAAUCUUUAUCUUUUGGUGGUUCCCGCUCAUGGCACCUCGAUUCCAGUGCCUGCCCUCUUAAAUAGGUGGGGGAAAGGACUGGGCGCAUUCCACCUACCAGUCUUGUCGCCCUUCUCCCCAUUAUCGCAGCGAAAACCCUCAUCGUCUUCCGAGAGCUCCGCCACCACCCGUGGUUCUCGCCGUCAUCCGAAAGCAUUGGUGCCGCCCGAAGACCUUGUCACCGUCAAGCACUUCGCCGUGGCCGAGCAGUUCGCCGUUAUCGACCGUCUCCAGCCGAAUCCACCAGGUUAGGUUUCUGUUAUUCAAGAGCAGAUCCCAGCUCUCUUUCGAAGUUCAUCACUGCCAUGUUCUUGGCGCUUCCCGAAUAGUUGUUACUUGUUCCUGAUUAAUCGAUGGCGACGAUGACGAGAAAAUCAAUGUCUUUGAUACCUUUAUCCGUCCGCCCUCGAUUUGCACAUUUAGAGUAGGACUUCACCAAAUCAAUAGUAUUAUCCCAUCUUAGUCGCAGGUUGCCGUAUCUGGUCAUUUUCCGUGUUCAUUUCUAUCUGUCCAGUAGAUCCAUAAUCUACCGCUUGUUAUGUGAAAACUGUUUGUAGUCUUCAUACUUCGCCAUUUUUGGAUAAAUACCUCUGAUGCCUUGAAACACUGCUCCCUUAAGUAGCCAAAGUUUCAUAAGUCGCCCUGGCAACCUCACCCGGGCCUUCGUUGGCGGAUCAAAUAAUUUCCUCAGCCAGCGGGCAAAUUAUUUGGGGACCCAAAUGAAAUCGUUUCACCUCUUUCAGUAGAUGUUUUUGGCAUGUCAAUUCACCCGUACUUUAUCCCUUUGUAGCAUGGGCACCGUUUUCAAAAGUGACUGGCUCCCCACCAAGGUUAAUGAUGCCAUACUAGAGGAUUAUGUGAAAACGUGAAAUUUGGACCCUCAGGAUGUUAUCGGUUGGCGCACCGAGUUCGGAGAAGAAGUCCCCAAUCCCAAAGAAGGGGAAAUAGUUGUUUUCGUUGAACACCUUGAGCGAGGUUUUUAGCCGCCUAGAUCGAAGUUCCUCAGAGACGCCAUGGCUUUUAUGAAUGUCCGCCUCCAAGAUCUAGGGCCCAACUUGAUAAGCAACCUAUGCCAGUUCCACGUGUUUUGUGAGGCUUACUUGCGGAUGGAACCCUCAGUUCCCUUAUUCUGGUAUUUCUUCCACUUAAAUCGCCAAACAGAAUUUCACAAUGGCCCCAGCCUGGAGCUUGGCGGUGUAAAUGUUCAGCGCCGCAGGGAUAGCCCAUUUCCGUCACUCGCCAUGCGAAGCCACCCCAAAGGCUGGGGCGAGUCUUGGUUCUAUUGUCAAGAGACCUCGCCUGAGGGUGAAAACAAACUUCUGGGUUAUAGGGAAGAUCGCCUUCCAACGAAUUUCAAACUCCCAGACAAGCUCACCGAAGAGGAGGAGUCAGAUUUUAUCCCAGUAUUGUCCGAGUUAAGAUCUUUGACAAACAACGGCCUUACUGGAGUUGACUUGAUCCGCUGCUGGGUCGAAUGGCGCAUCCUCCCUUUAAGUCGCCGGGACGGGUUAAUGUGUGAAUUCGACGGCACUCUAGAUCAUCCUCAGUGCUACUUCCACACGGCUCUGACAGAAAGUGACAUUGUCACCAUCAUCAAGAAGCUGACCGGCGAGCCCGCGGGAAAAUGCGGCCAAAUAGGUCUCAAACCUUUCUGCAAGAUUAACCCGACACCUAAGGUAAACAACUUUAACCCACCUUUUGUAUUUUACUUCUUAUGUCUCAUUUGAACUAUGACCUCUUAUAAAAUAUGCCAUUUCAGAAAGGUGAUAAAUUUUAGUCCAAGAGGCCAAAAAAGUCAGCCAUGAAGUAAGCUAGGCCGCCUGGAGGCGAGUUAUGAGAUGGAGAAAAGCCUGCUUCGGAUGCUGAAAAACAAACAUGAGGUACGUUUUGUUGUAUACUAUAUUAUCCCCAUUAACCCCCAAGGGUCGGGUCAUCAGUAAAAAUAUGAGCCGGGUCUUGAUGACCUGAAAAACUUUCGACCAGUAACCCCCAAGGGCCGGGUCAUCAGUAAAANNNNNNNNNNCUGAAAAACUUUCGACCAGUAAUCCCCAAGGGCCGGGUCAUCAGUAAAAAGAUGAGCCGGGUCUUGAUGACUUGAAAAACUUUCGACCAGUAACCCCCAAGGGCCGGGUCAUCAGUAAAAAGAUGAGUCGGGUCUUGAUGCUGUAUAAUUUUGUCUGGAAAAAUUAUAAAUUAGCCCCCAAGUGUCAGGAAUGUUGCUUGCAAUAGUUCCGAGACUUGCCCCUUAACCAUAUGAUUCAACAGGAAUCUCUUAUCCAGACUGAAUCAGCACUUGGCGACUUGAAGAAAAGCUUAUCUGAUUAGCAAGAUGCCCGGGCCAAAUCAGAGGAGAAGUAUGAACUGGUCUUAGCUGAGAUGGAAAAGCUAAAAGCCGACUUAAAAAGGGCUCAAGCUGACCAAGAUGUUUUAACAAAGCGAGCAGAAAAGGCUGAAGCCAAGUUGGAUACUGUGCAACAAGAGCUGUCCGGCUUAAAACGACAUAUCUCAAACAUGGCGCAAGCCGUCUUUGGUAAAAAAAACUAACUCUUGACCUUUGUAAACAAAUAACUUUUAUCUGAGUCGCUGAUUAUCAUUACCCCUUAUACAGGCCCGAGAGCCGCCAACCUUCAGGAUGAUUGCGUCCUGACGCUGAAGACGAUUUACACGCUGACGGAGCAGCUAUAUACCGGAAGUGUACUGACUGUGAAAGCGGUGAUGGGCGCCAAGGAGCCUAUAACAUCAAUAAAGAAGAUGCUUGGCUGCCUAUCCACUCUUCCUCCCCAAAUUGGCGAGUUAACUCGGUCAGACGCCCAGAAANNNNNNNNNNNNNNNNNNNNNNNNNNNNNNNNNNNNNNNNNNNNNNNNNNNNNNNNNNNNNNNNNNNNNNNNNNNNNNNNNNNNNNNNNNNNNNNNNNNNAUAGGCCCAAUGGGUAAUAAAAUUGAUCUCAAUGAGAGGAAGCCCCCAAGUCGGGAGGCGUUUUAAUUUUAUUGCUUUAUAAGCACUGAAAAACUUACAAAAUACAGAUCUUAAGAGCUCAAGUGUAAUAAGGCCGCAAGUGGGCAAUAUUCCAGGGGCGAGUCGACUCAGCCUCCGUGGUUGGCCGGUUAGGCCGGAGAUCCACCAGAUAGUAAGAGCCGUUGUGAAGAUUUUUGCUGACGACGAAUGGUCCUUCCCAUGGUGGUGAUAACUUAUGCAUGCCAGCACGAUCCUGUAUCAGCCGAAGCACUAAGUCGCCUUCCUGAAAAGUUCGGCUCUUGACCCGGCGGCUGUGAUAACGCCGUAAAUCCUGCUGAUAAAUGGCCGAUCAGGCCGCAGCCAAGUCACGCGCCUCCUCUAAGGCGUCCAAAGAGUCUCGAUGCGCCAGUUCGUUGUCCUGUUCCACAUAAGUGGUGACUCUAGGUGAGUCAUGCCUUAUGUCAGUGGGAAGAACAGCUUGUGCUCCAUAGACCAGAAAGAAAGGGGUAAAACCCGUGGACCGGUUCGGGGUGGUCCGGAUGCUCCAUAGCACUGAAGGCAACUCCUCAACCCAACAUCCCGGGUUUUUUUCCAAGGGAACCACGANNNNNNNNNNNNNNNNNNNNNNNNNNNNNNNNNNNNNNNNNNNNNNNNNNNNNNNNNNNNNNNNNNNNNNNNNNNNNNNNNNNNNNNNNNNNNNNNNNNNUGCUGCUCGGACUUGGACCUGGACGCCUGCUAGGUUUGUGCUGCCCUCCGACUUUCUGGCCCGUCAGGCCCGAAAUGAAGUUCUGAGUGGGCCUUAAUUGGGCGGCGGCCAGUGGAUACACGCAAUCGCAACAGAGGUCGGAAAGAACUUCCCUAAAAAGAAUGUUCGGAACGACGAUGAUCGUGACAGCAUAAGAGCAUCUAGAAUAGUAGAUCCGGCUGCCGGCUGUAAGCUCAUGCCAUAUCACCUAUAAUCCAUCUUAAUAACUAAUAUGUAUAAUAGUUGGUUAGAAAAGUGUAUUACUUAUUUAUUAUAUGACCCACCUUUCAUUCUCACGAAGUGCCUAGGAGCACGUGCUAGAGUUGGCUCUUAACUAAGAGCCCGCUUACCUUCUCUCUCCUCUUCUCUCCUCCAACUAAGCAAAAAUAUACUACUUUAUUCUUUAUAGCCAGCUCACUCAACUCUAUUGUACUUGCUCUAAGCAGAUACGUGUUGCUCCGUUGGUGUCCAAUCGAUGAUCCUCGUGCUAGUCGUGAACAGCUGAAACCUGCACCUCAACCUCGGCCAGUGAUAGCCGGAAACCGGUGGCGGAGUCAGCUCAAUGUGAUAGCCUGGAGAACAUAUGAAGGCUCCUAAUGGUCGGAAGUUAUUUUGUGAUUUGUCCACGGAAAAGCUGAAUUUUCUUCAUCCUUGUCAUUAUUUUAAGAAAGAGAUUGCAAGCUGAGCCUGGACAACUGCCGAGGAUAGGUGGGCGAUGGCUCCGUCACUACCGGAAACAUACAUCGAGAACAAUCUGACAGGUCCUCCCGGCUGGACUGUUGACAGACAAACGCAUGCAUCCUCAACAUCGGGGGUGACUACCGUAGCUCAUGUCAAAGAAGAUCCGACCGACAACGCGAUAUAUAAGACAAUAGAUGAAUGUUUUUGCACCCACUGAAACCCCAAACACCUAGAAGGGACCCCGUCAAGGAGUGCGACGGUUAUAAACUGCCCUAGGUCGAUUCGCUCGUUCCUAUAUCCUUGGGAUUCGCAUUCAAAGAACAACGAAAAACGAGAGAGAAAAACAAUGAUGACAUAAAACGUAGAUGAAAAACUAGUAUAGAUUGAUAUGUUCGAUUGUGUGUUAUUCAAUCGGCCGACAUCUCUUACAAAUAUAUGAGACGGUUGGACUUUCCGUACAAAAAAAAGACUCAAAUCCUGUCUAAAACAUUAAAAGUUAACCUAACUCCGAUUACGAGGGCCGGAACUUCCGAUCGGCCUGGAAAUUCCGGGCUAAAAUUACGACGAGUAGCCUUGUUAUACUGAUUCUGUAGGUCGCAUAUGACUUCAGAUCACGAUGGUCCCAAAAGCAAAAUUGUAGAGUUUGAAACGCAGAGUAUUUCGUUAAUUGAACACUUCUUCAUAUGAGGCCAUGUUGAAGUUGAAUUUGGGUUCUCAAAACUGCAAAAAAAAAAUCCAGUUUUCGGGGCCUAUCGCGCGCAAACUUUCGGUUUAGUCCGGAACCUUCCCGGAACUUGCCCGGAACUUCCGAGGCAAACUUCUACAACCCAAUGUUUCAGCUGUAGCUUUUGCAUGUGAACUCAAAUUUAGAUAAUUUUUAUGUCAAAAUCGAUAACCUCGACGAGUCGAAGAUAGUUCAUGUAGAACAUUUUCUGAUACGAGGCCAUCUUGGAGGCAUAAUUGGCCGAACAGUACUGUGCUUAUGAAAUCUUAAUACUUUGAGCAUGAUUUUGACCUUCGAGAUGAGGUCGGAUGACGAUGACCGAAACUUCAAAAUAGUUUAUGUCAAUACUAUGGAACCUUUUCAUAUAGAGCACUUCUUUAUUUUAAGCCAUGUUGGUUGUGUUUUCUUUCAUGCCAAAAUCUGAUGUCAACAUAUGCCCUUCUGUUUUUCGAGAAAGCCUGCGUGCCGGAAAAAUAACUCACAUAAUGCUUUUUGUAAGGACGAUGUCAACACUCCAUCAACCAUUUUUUAUGCUUAGGACGAUAAGUAUAUAUCGACCAUCUUUACUCUUAGGGCGAUAAUUGUGUAACGACCAUGUUUUAUGCUAAGGGCGAUAAUCAUAUAUCAGCCAUUGCUUACUUAAGCUUCUUUCCACACAUUUGGGUGGUAUUUUUUCAGAUAUUUGCCAUUAAGAGCUCGAGGUAGCAUUGUACNNNNNNNNNNNNNNNNNNNNNNNNNNNNNNNNNNNNNNNNNNNNNNNNNNNNNNNNNNNNNNNNNNNNNNNNNNNNNNNNNNNNNNNNNNNNNNNNNNNNAUCGUUUAUUAUCCAUGCUAUAAUUGUAUUGAAUGAAGACUCAUUUACAUGUGUGGAUACAUGGACAAAACACUGUCCCUAGCAAGCCUCUAGUUGGCUAGCCAGUUGAUCAAAGAUAAUCAGUGUCUUCUGAUUAUGAACAAGGUGUUGUUUUUUGAUAACUGGAUCACGUCAUUAGAAGAAUCACGUGAUGGACUAGACCCAAACUAAUAAACGUAAGCAUGUUGAUCAUGUCAUUUUGUUGCUACUGUUUUCUGCGUGUCAAGUAUUUGUUCCUAUGACCAUGAGAUCAUAUAACUCACUAACACCAGAGGAAUACUUUGUGUGUAUCAAACGUCGCAACAUAACUAGGUGACUAUAAAGAUGCUCUACAGGUAUCUCCGAAGGUGUUCGUUGAGUUAGUAUGGAUCAAGACUGGGAUUUGUCACUCCGUGUGACGGAGAGGUAUCGUCGGGGCCCACUCGGUAAUACAACAUCACACACAAGCCUUGCAAGCAAUGUAACUUAGUGUAAGUUGCGGGAUCUUGUAUUACAGAACGAGUAAAGAGACUUACCGGUAAACGAGAUUGAAAUAGGUAUGGGGAUACUGACGAUCGAAUCUCGGGCAAGUAACAUACCGAAGGACAAAGGGAAUGACAUACGGGAUUAUAUGAAUCCUUGGCACUGAGGUUCAAACGAUAAGAUCUUCGUAGAAUAUGUAGGAUCCAAUAUGGGCAUCCAGGUCCCGCUAUUGGAUAUUGACCGAGGAGUCUCUCGGGUCAUGUCUACAUAGUUCUCGAACCCGCAGGGUCUGCACACUUAAGGUUCGACGUUGUUUUAUGCGUAUUUGAGUUAUAUGGUUGGUUACCGAAUGUUGUUCGGAGUCCCGGAUGAGAUCACAGACGUCACGAGGGUUUCCGGAAUGGUCUGGAAGCGAAGAUUAGAUAUAUAGGAUGACCUCAUUUGAUUACCGGUAAGGUUUUCGGAGGUUACCGGGAAUGUACCGGGAAUGACGAAUGGGUUCCGGGUGUUCACCGGGGGGGGGGGGGGGCAACCCACCCAGGGGAACCCAUAGGCCUUGGGGGUGGCGCACCAGCCCUUAGUGGGCUGGUGGGACAGCCCAAGAAGGCCCUAUGCGCCAUAGGAAGAAAAUCAAAGAGAAAAAAAGGGAGGUGGGAAAAGGGGGAAGGACUCCUCCUUCCAAACCUAGUUGGACUCGGUUUGGAAGGGGAGGGUUGCCCCCCUUGGCUCGGCCGAAGUCCUUGGGGGUCCUUGGACCCCAAGGCAAGUCUCCUCCUCCUCCCCCUAUAUAUACGGAGGUUUUAGGGCUGAUUUGACACAACUUUGCCACGGCAGCCCGACCACAUAUCUCCACGGUUUGACCUCUAGAUCGCGUUUCUGCGGAGCUCGGGCGGAGCCCUGCCGAGACAAGAUCAUCACCAACCUCCGGAGUGCCGUCACGCUGCCGGAGAACUCUUCUACCUCUCCGUCUCUCUUGCUGGAUCAAGAAGGCCGAGAUCAUCGUCGAGCUGUACGUGUGCUGAACGCGGAGGUGCUGUCCGUUCGGCACUAGAUCGUGGGACUGAUCGCGGGACGGUUCGCGGGGCGGAUCGAGGGACGUGAGCACGUUCCACUACAUCAACCGCGUUUCUUAACGCUUCUGCUGUGCGAUCUACAAGGGUACGUAGAUCGGAAAUCCCCUCUCGUAGAUGGACAUCACCAUGAUAGGUCUUCGUGCGCGUAGGAAAUUUUUUGUUUCCCAUGGGAUGUUCCCCAACAAGACCGGGUUAGCCAACCAUUUGGGGUGAAAUACGAUGAAUCCGGCGGCCAAGAGACGGGCAACUUUUUCCCCAAUUGCCUUGCGUCGUUCCUCGUUAAACCUACGAAGAUACUGCUGGAUAGGUUUUGCCUUUGGGUCAACAUUAAGAUGGUGCUCAGCGAAUUCUCUCGGCACACCAGGCAUGUCAGAAGGUUUCCAUGUGAAGAUGUCCCGAUUCUCGCGGAUGAAUUCGAUGAGCGCGCUUUCCUAUUUGGGAUCCAGACCCGUCCCAAUGGUGAACUGCUUGGUUGAAUCGCCAGGAACGAAAUCUAACCGUUUUUGUGUCAUCCGUUGGUUUGAACUUGAGGGGUGGCUCCGCAUCUGUCGUUGGCUUUUUAAGGGUGACAUGUCAGCCGGAUCAACAUUGGCCCGAUGAUAUUUGAGCUCCUCUGUAGCGCAGGCGACUUCCGCAUAAGCCGCGUCCCCUUCUUCACAUUCCCUUGCAAUCCUUCUAUCACCCUCAAUCGUGAUGGGUCCCUUAGGACCAGGCAUCUUGAGUUCAAGGUAAACAUAGCAUGGGCGAGCCAUGGAACCGGGCGUAAGCCGGCCGCCCAAACAGCGCAUGGUAGGGGCUUUUCAAUUUGAUCACCUCAAANNNNNNNNNNNNNNNNNNNNNNNNNNNNNNNNNNNNNNNNNNNNNNNNNNNNNNNNNNNNNNNNNNNNNNNNNNNNNNNNNNNNNNNNNNNNNNNNNNNNUUGGCCUGUCCAGCCACGAGAAUUGGCCGGCCUCCGUCCUCCAGCCCGGCCGGGGUGGCAUCCUAGCCGGCCAGAAGACUUAGGCAUUGGGGAACUGUAWUUUUUUCUAUUAUCCUUUUGGGGCAGGAAAUGAAGGAGCAGGCUUGAUGAGCCUACCCCGGGGUUAUCCCCCCAACAUUUAUUCAUGGCAAUGAUCAUCACAUAUAGGCAUCACGUCCGUCAGCAAGUAGACCGACUCAUGCCUACAUCUAUCACUAUUACUCCACUCAUUGACCACUAUCCAGCAUGCCUCUAGAGUAUUAAGUAAAACAAAGUAAUGUUGUAAGGUAAAUUACAUGAUAUAGACAAAGUAUACUCAACUAAUAUGAAUAAACCCCAUCAUUUUAUCCUUAGUAGCAGCAAUACAAAUACAUGUCAUGUCCCUUUCUGUCACUAGGAUUGGACACCACAAGAUUGAACCCAUUAUAAUGCACUACUCCCGCUGAAGAUAAAUCAAUCUAGUUGGCCAAACCAACCCGAUAGAUCAGAGAGAACUAGAAAGCUAUCAUAGUUAUGCGUAUAAGAAUUCAGAGAUAACUCAAAUACUUUUCAUAAAUAAUCUGACCACAAACUCAUGAUACUUGUGAUCUACGUUGGGUUUUUCAUGAAAAGGAACAUGUUAUCGCAACACAGUGUGGAUAAGUAUUUCACUUAGUUAUAAAACCAAGGUUUACCGAACCAAUAGAAAUAUCAACAACAACCGUCUUUAGCGGCUACACACAAAAGAACAAACAACUUGCACCCAACGCGGGCAAGAGGGUUGUCAAUCCCCUUGGUCUCGUUAUUUGCAAGCAAGUGAUAUGUGUAGAUAAUUGGAAAUUUCAAAAUAAAAUGAAAACAAGUAAAUGGCGGCAAAGUAUUAAAGUUUUGUAAAUAUAUGGUGAAUAGACCCGGGGGCCAUAGUUUUCCCUUGUGGCAUCUCUCAUGAAAACAUCAUACGGUGGGUAAACAAAUUACUGUUGGGCAAUUGAUAGGAAAGCGGAUAGUUAUGCGAUAUUCACGGCAAUGAUCAUGUGUAUAUAUGCAUCACAUCCAUAAACAUAAUAGGUCGACUCGUGACAACACCUAUUACUAUUACUCCACUCAUCGACCGCUAUCCAGCAUGCAUCUAGAGUAUUAAAUAAAACAGAGUAAUGCAUGGAGAACGAUGACAUGAUGUAGACAAAGUAAACUCGGGCAAUAUGAAGAAACCCCAUCGUGUUAUCCUCAAUAGUAGAAACACAAAGAUGCAUCUUGUCCCCUUCAGUUUGUAGCAAUGGCCAAGGUGUUGGUAUUGUUUACAUUUCUCCUCAUGGUGUUGUUUUUGAAGCCUCGCGUCGCUUAGAAUUAUUUUUGCAACAAAAAAUCAGGCCAAAUAUGAAGCAUUCUUAUUUCGAUAGAAAUGUUGUUGGCUAUAGGUGCUACACAUAUUGAGGCUUUUGGUGAUUCGCUAUUAGUGGUACAACAAAUAUCCAGAGUUUUCCAAUGUUUUGAUGAAUCACUUAAUGUUUACCUUGAUAAAUGUCUAGAUAUUAUUUCUGCUUUGGAUUGUUUUAGCAUUGCUCAUAUAUGUAGACAUGAUAAUUGGUGAGCAAAUAAUUUGGCACAACCAGCAUCCAGCUAUCAUGUUGAUCAUGGCAUGUUUCAUAUUUCUCAAUAGCCGAUGUCUAGCUUUGCCAACAUAGGAUAGGUCGAACCAGAACACACCACUUCAGCCACUAACAAAAAAUCUAGUGCAGUUAGAAAAAACUAGACUCAAGGAAGCCCGUUAUUGAUUACUUGUGUGAUCAGAGUGAAAGGGUNNNNNNNNNNNNNNNNNNNNNNNNNNNNNNNNNNNNNNNNNNNNNNNNNNNNNNNNNNNNNNNNNNNNNNNNNNNNNNNNNNNNNNNNNNNNNNNNNNNNUCAACUGGCUAGCCAMCUAAGAGGCUUGCUAGGGACAGUGUUUUGUCUAUGUAUCCACACAUGUAAAUGAGUCUUCAUUCAAUACAAUUAUAGCAUGGAUAAUAAACGAUUAUCUUGAUACAGGAAUUAUAAUAAUAACUAUAUUUAUUAUUGCCUCUAGGGCAUAAUUCCAACAGUCUCCCACUUGCACUAGAGUCAAUAAUCUAGCCCUCACAUCAUCAUGCGAAUUACAUUGUAAUAAAUCUAACACCCAUACAGUUCUGGUGUUGAUCAUGCUUUACCCGUGGAAGAGGUUUAGUCAGCGGGUCUGCUACAUUCAGAUCCGUGUGCACUUUGCAUAUAUUUACGUGCUCCCCUUCGACGUAGUCGCGGAUGAGGUUGAAGCGUCGUUUGAUGUGUCUGGACUUCUUGUGAAACCGUGGUUCCUUUGCUAGGGCAAUGGCACCGGUGUUGUCACAGAACAAGGUUAUUGGAUUCAGUGCGCUUGGCACCACUCCAAGAUCCGUCAUGAAUUGCUUCAUCCAGACACCCUCCUUAGCCGCCUCCGAGGCAGCCAUGUACUCCGCUUCACAUGUAGAAUCUGCUACGACCCUCUGCUUGGAACUGCACCAGCUUACCGCACCCCCAUUAAGAAUAAAUACGUAUCCGGUUUGCGACUUAGAGUCGUCCAGAUAUGUGCCAAAGCUUGCAUCGACGUAACCUUUUACGGCGAGCUCUUCGUCACCUCCAUACACGAGAAACAUCUCCUUAGUCCUUUUCAGGUACUUCAGGAUAUUCUUGACCGCCGUCCAAUGAUCCACUCCUGGAUUACUCUGGAACCUACCUGCCAUACUUAUGGCCAGGCUAACGUCCGGUCUAGUGCACAACAUUGCAUACAUGAUAGUACCUAUGGCUGAAGCAUAGGGGACGGUGCUCAUAUGCUCUAUAUCCUCAUCAGUUGAUGGGCACUGAGUCUUACUCAAUCUCGUACCUUGUAAAACUGGCAAGAACCCUUUCUUGGAUUGUUCCAUUUUGAACCUCUUCAAAACUUUAUCAAGGUAUGUGCUUUGUGAAAGUCCUAUGAGGCGUUUUGAUCUAUCCCUGUAGAUCUUAAUGCCUAGAAUGUAAGCAGCUUCUCCUAGGUCCUUCAUAGAGAAACUUUUAUUCAAGUAAUCCUUUAUGCUCUCCAAAAACUCUACGUUGUUUCCAAUCAGCAAUAUGUCAUCCACAUAUAAUAUUAGAAACAACACAGAGCUCCCACUCACUUUCUUGUAAAUACAAGAUUCUCCAACCACUUGUAUAAACCCAAAUGCUUUGAUCACCUCAUCAAAGCGUUUGUUCCAACUCCGAGAUGCUUGCACCAGUCCAUAAAUGGAUCGCUGGAGCUUGCACACUUUGUUAGCAUUCUUAGGAUCCACAAAACCUUCGGGUUGCAUCAUAUACAACUCUUCCUUAAGGAAACCGUUAAGGAACGCCGUUUUGACAUCCAUCUGCCAGAUUUCAUAAUCGAAAAAUGCAGCUAUUGCUAACAUGAUUCUGACGGACUUAAGCAUCGCUACGGGUGAGAAUGUCUCAUCGUAGUCAACUCCUUGAACUUGUGAAAAACCCUUUGCCACAAGUCGAGCUUUAUAAAUGGUCACAUUGCCGUCAGCGUCCGUCUUCCUCUUAAAGAUCCAUUUGUUCUGAAUAGCCUUGCGGCCCUCAGGUAGUACUUCCAAAGUCCACACUUUGUUCUCAUACAUGGAUCCUAUCUCGGAUUUCAUGGCUUCUAGCCAUUUGUUGGAAUCUGGGCCCACCAUCGCUUCUUCAUAAUUUGCAGGUUCAUUGUUGUCCAACAACAUGAUUGACAAGACGGGAUUACCGUACCACUCUGGAGCAGCACGUGGUCUCGUCGACCUGCGUGGUUCGACAGAAACUUGAAACGGAGUUUCAUGAUCAUCAUCAUUAACUUCCUCCUCAACCGGCGUCGCAAUGACAGAGGUUUCCCCUUGCCCUGCGCCACCAUCUAGAGGGAUGAGAGGUUCGACAACCUCAUCAAGUUCUAUCUUCCUCCCACUCAAUUCUCUCGAGAGAAACUCCUUCUCGAGAAAAGCUCCGUUUUUAGCAACAAACACUUUGCCCUCGGAUUUGAGAUAGAAUGUGUACCCAACUGUCUCUUUUGGGUAACCUAUGAAGAUGCACUUUUUCGCUUUGGGUUCCAGCUUUUCAAGUUGAAGCUUUUUGACAUAAGCCUCACAUCCCCAAACUUUAAGAAACGACAACUUUGGCCUUUUGCCAUACCACAGUUUGUAUGGUGUUGUCUCAACCGAUUUUGAUGGUGCCCUAUUUAAAGUGAAUGCAACUGUUUCUAAUGCAUAACCCCAAAACGAUAACGGCAAAUCGGUAAGAGACAUCAUAGAUCGCACCAUCUCUAAUAAAGUACGAUUACGACGUUCGGACACACCAUUACGCUGUGGUGUUCCAGGCGGUGUCAACUGUGAAACAAUUCCACAUUGUCUUAAGUGAGCACCAAACUCGAAACUCAGAUAUUCACCCCCACGAUCAGACCGUAGGAACUUGAUCUUCUUGUUACGAUGAUUUUCAACUUCACUCUGAAAUUGCUUGAACUUUUCAAAUGUUUCAGACUUGUGCUUCAUCAAGUAGACAUAACCAUAUCUACUCAAAUCAUCAGUGAAGGUGAGAAAAUAACGAUAUCCGCCGCGUGCCUCCACGCUCAUCGGACCACACACAUCGGUAUGUAUGAUUUCCAACAAGUCACUUGCAUGCUCCAUUGUUCCGGAGAACGGAGUCUUAGUCAUCUUGCCCAUGAGGCAUGGUUCGCAUCUGUCAAGUGAAUCAAAGUCAAGUGACUCCAAAAGUCCAUCAACAUGGAGUUUCUUCAUGCGCUUUACACCAAUAUGACCUAAGCGGCAGUGCCACAAAAAUAUGGCGCUAUCAUUGUUAACUCUAACUAUUUUGGUCUCAAUGUUAUGUAUGUGUGUAUUGCUAUCAAGAUUCAAUAUGAACAAUCCUCUCACAUUGGGUGCAUGACCAUAAAAGAUGUUACUCAUAGAAAUAGAAGAACCAUUAUUCUCUGACUUAAAAGAGUAACCGUCUCGCAAUAAACAAGAUCCGGAUAUAAUGUUCAUGCUCAACGCAGGCACUAAAUAACAAUGAUUUAAGUUCAUAACUAAUCCCAAUGGUAACUGAAGUGAAACUGUGCCGACGGCGAUUGCGUCAACCUUGGAACCAUUUCCUACGCGCAUCGUCACUUCAUCUUUCGCCAGCCUUCGUCUAUUCCGCAGUUCCUGUUUCGAGUUGCAAAUAUGAGCAACAGAACCGGUAUCGAAUACACAGGCACUACUACGAGAGUCGGUCAAGUACACAUCAAUAACAUGUAUAUCAAAUAUACCUGAUUUUUCUUUGGCCGCCUUCUUAUUUGCCACAUACUUGGGGCAAUUGCGCUUCCAGUGACCCAUACCCUUGCAAUAGUAACACUCCGUUUCAGGCUUAGGUCCAGCUUUGGGUUUCUUCGUCGGAUUGGCAACAGGCUUGCCGCUCUUCUUUGAAUUACCCUUCUUGCCUUUGCCGUUUCUCUUGAAACUAGUGGUCUUAUUCACCAUCAACACUUGAUGCUCUUUACGGAGUUCAGACUCUGCGACUUUCAGCAUCGCAAACAACUCGCUGGGAGACUUGUUCAUCCCUUGCAUGUUGUAGUUCAACACAAAGCCUUUAUAGCUUGGCGGCAGUGAUUGAAGGAUUCUGUCAGUGAUAGCCUCUUGCGGGAGUUCAAUCCCCAGCUCAGCUAGACGGUUUGAGUAUCCAGACAUUUUGAGCACAUGUUCACUGACAGACGAGUUUUCCUCCAUCUUGCAAGCAUAGAAUUUAUCGGAGGUCUCAUACCUCUCGAUCCGGGCGUUCUUCUGAAAGAUAAAUUUCAACUCCUGGAACAUCUCAAAUGCUCCAUGACGCUCAAAGCGACGUUGAAGUCCCGGUUCUAAGCCAUACAAGACUGCACAUUGAACUACUGAGUAGUCCUCCUUACGUGCUAACCAAGCGUUCUUAACAUCCUGAUCAGCCGUAGCGGGUGGUUCAUCUCCUAGCGCGGCAAUAAGGACAUAAUCCUUCUUCCCAGCUUGUAAGAUUAGCUUAAGAUUACGAGCCCAGUCUACAAAGUUGCUUCCAUCAUCUUUCAGCUUAGCUUUCUCUAGGAACGUAUUAAAAUUCAGGGUGAGUGUCGCGUGAGCCAUGAUCUACAACACAAAUAUAUUCAAAGUGGACUUAGACUAUGUUCAAGAUAAUUAGAGUUUAACUUAAUCAAAUUAUUCGCUAAACUCCCACUCAAAAAGUACAUCUCUCUAGUCAUUUGAGUGGUUCGUGAUCCACUUACACUAGCUCAAGUCCGAUCAUCACGUGAGUUGAGUAUAGUUUCAGUGGUAAGCAUCCCUAUGCUAAUCAUAUCAUCUAUAUGAUUCAUGAUCGACCUUUCGGUCUCAUGUGUUCCGAGGCCAUGUCUGCACAUGCUAGGCUCGUCAAGCUUAACCCGAGUGUUCCGCGUGCGCAACUGUUUUGCACCCGUUGUAUGUGAACGUUGAGUCUAUCACACCCGAUCAUCACGUGGUGUCUCGAAACGACGAACUGUAGCAACGGUGCACAGUCGGGGAGAACACAAUUUCGUCUUGAAAUUUUAGUGAGAGAUCACCUCAUAAUGCUACCGUCGUUCUAAGCAAAAUAAGGUGCAUAAAAGGAUUAACAUCACAUGCAAUUCAUAAGUGACAUGAUAUGGCCAUCAUCACGUGCUCCUUGAUCUCCGUCACCAAAGCACCGGCACGAUCUUCUUGUCACCGGCGCCACACCAUGAUCUCCAUCAACGUGUCGCCAUCGGGGUUGUCGUGCUACUCAUGCUAUUACUACUAAAGCUACAUCCUAGCAAAAUAGUAAACGCAUCUACAAGCACAAACGUUAGUAUAAAGACAACCCUAUGGCUCCUGCCGGUUGCCGUACCAUCGACGUGCAAGUCGAUAUUAUCUAUUACAACAUGAUCAUCUCAUACAUCCAAUAUAUCACAUCACAUCGUUGGCCAUAUCACAUCACAAGCAUACCCUGCAAAAACAAGUUAGACGUCCUCUAAUUUUGUUGUUGCAUGUUUUACGUGGUGACCAUGGGUAUCUAGUAGGAUCGCAUCUUACUUACGCAAACACCACAACGGAGAUAUAUGAGUUGCUAUGAACCUCAUCCAAGGACCUCCUCGGUCAAAUUCGAUUCAACUAAAGUUGGAGAAACUAACACUUGCCAGUCAUCUUUGAGCAACGGGGUUACUCGUAGCGAUGAAACCAGUCUCUCGUAAGCGUACGAGUAAUGUCGGUCCAAGCCGCUUCAAUCCAACAAUACCGCGGAAUCAAGAAAAGACUAAGGAGGGCAGCAAAACGCACAUCACCGCCCACAAAAACUUUUGUGUUCUACUCGAGAAGACAUCUACGCAUGAACCUAGCUCAUGAUGCCACUGUUGGGGAACGUCGCAUGGGAAACAAAAAAAUUCCUACGCGCACGAAAACCUAUCAUGGUGAUGUCCAUCUACGAGAGGGGAUGUUCGAUCUACGUACCCUUGUAGACUGCACAGCAGAAGCGUUAGUGAACGCGGUUGACGUAGUGGAACAUCCUCACGUCCCUCGAUCCGCCCCACGAACCGUCCCUCGAUCAGUCCCACGAUCUAGUGCCGACCGGACGGCACCUCUGCGUUCAACACACGUACAGCUCGACGAUGAUCCCGGCCUUCUUGAUCCAGCAAGAGAGACGGAGAGGUAGAUGAGUUCUCCGGCAGCGUGACGGCGCUCCGAAGGUUGGUGGUGAUCUAAUCUCAGCAGGGCUCCGCCCGAGCUCCGCAGAAACGCGAUCUAGAGGUAAAACCGUGGAGAUAUGUGGUCGGGCUGCCGUGGCAAAGUUGUCUCAAAUCAGCCCUAAAACCUCCGUAUAUGUAGGGGGGAAGAGGGGGGGGCCUUGCCUUGGGGUCCAAGGACCCCCAAGGACUUCGUCCGAGCCAAGGGGGGCAACCCUCCCCUUCCAAACCGAGUCCAACUAGGUUUGGAAGGAGGAGUCCUUCCCCCUUUUCCCACCUCCUCUUUUUUUCUUUUCUCUUUGAUUUAUUCCUAUGGCGCAUAGGGCCUUCUUGGGCUGUCCCACCAGCCCACUAAGGGCUGGUGCGCCACCCCCAAGGCCUAUGGGCUUCCCCGGGGUGGGUUGUCCCCCCGAUGAACACCCGGAACCCAUUCGUCAUUCCCGGUACAUUCCCGGUAACUCCGAAAACCUUCCGGUAAUCAAAUGAGGUCAUCCUAUAUAUCAAUCUUCGCUUCCAGACCAUUCCGGAAACCCUCGUGACGUCUGUGAUCUCAUCCGGGACUCCGAACAACAUUCGGUAAACAACCAUAUAACUCAAAUACGCAUAAAACAACGUCGNNNNNNNNNNNNNNNNNNNNNNNNNNNNNNNNNNNNNNNNNNNNNNNNNNNNNNNNNNNNNNNNNNNNNNNNNNNNNNNNNNNNNNNNNNNNNNNNNNNNGGGGUUAAGUCNUAAUGGGAUGCUUGUCCAUAAGGGCAGUACCCAAGCGCUGGUCCAUCCACAUAUCAAACUAUCAAAGUAGCGAACGUGAAUCAUAUGAACAUUAUGAAAACUAGCUUGACAGAAUUUCCCAUGUGUCCUCGGGAGCGCUUUACCUCAUAUAAGACUUUGCCCAGGCUUGUCCCUUGCUACAAUAUGGAUUGGGCCAAUUUGUUGCACCGUUUCUACUUUUGCUACUUGCUACUUGCUACGAAUCAUCUUGCCACACAACUACUUGUUACCAUUAAUUUCAAUGCUUGCAGAUAUCACCUUACUGAAAACCACUUGUCAGAUCCUUCUACUCCUUGUUAGGUUCGACACUCUUACUUAUCGAAAGGACUAUGAUAGAUCCCCUAUACUUGUGGGUCAUCACGGUAAUCAAGGCCUUCUUAAGUAUUUCAAAGUCUUCCUCACAAUCAUCAUAAAAAAAAUGAAUAUCCUUUUGCAAGAGAUUGGUAAGAGGCCUAGAAAUCUUAGAAAAGUCCUUAAUGUACCUUCUAUAGAAACCAGCAUGACCAAGGAAACUUCUUAUACCUUUGAUAUCUGUAGGGCAUGGCAUUUUCUCGAUCGCAUCAACCUAAGCCUUAUCGACUUCAAUACCUCUUUCAGAAAUUUUAUGUCCUAAGACGAUGCCUUCAUUAACCAUAAAGUGGCACUUCUCCCAAUUAAAGACAAGAUUGGUAUCUUUACAUCUCUGCAAAACUCUAUCAAGGUUGCUGAGGCAAUCAUCAAAAGAAGACCCGUAAACGGAGAAGUCAUCCAUGAAAACCUCAACAAUCUCUUCACAAAAGUAAGAGAAUAUAGCCAUCAUAUGUCUUUGAAAGGUAGCAGGUGCAUUACAUAAGCCAAAAGGCAUACGUAUGUAAGCAAAGGUAUCGAAAGGGCAGGUGAAAGUGGUUUUCUCCUCAUCAGUUUGUGCAACAGGUAUUUGGGAGAAACCAAAAUAACCAUCUAGAAAGCAGAAGGGUGUGUGUUUAGAAAAUCUUUCUACAUUUGGUCAAUGAAAGUCAAAGGGUAAUGAUCUUCCCUAGUGGCUUUAUUCAAUUUCCUAAAAUCAAUCACCAUCCUAUAGCUAGUAAUAAUCCUCUGUGGGAUCAAUUCAUCUUUGUCAUUAGGGACAACGGUAAUACCUCCCUUCUUAGGGACGCAAUGCACGAGACUCACCCAAUCACUAUGACCAACAGGAUAGAUAAUACCUGCUUCUAGGAGAUUUAGUAUUUCUUUUCUUACUACCUCUUUCAUCUUAGGAUUUAAUCUCCUUUGAUGAUCAGCAACUGGUUUGGAAUCAGGAUCAACUUUAAUUUUGUGCUGGCAUAGAGUGGGACUAAUGCCCUUAAGAUCGUCAAGAGUAUAUCCAAUAGCAGCACGGUGCUUCCUCAGAGUUUUAAUUAACUUACUUUUCUUUCUAUGCUCUGAAAGUACUAGCACUAAUUAUAACACGAUAUAUAUAUAUAUAUAUAUUUCAUCGAUAUAAGCAUACUUAAGAGUAUCAGGUAACUGCUUAAGCUCAAACAGAGGAUCAACCUUUGGUGGGGGUGGAUCUCCAAGCAGUUCAACAAGUAAAUUAUUCUUAAGGAUAGGAUGUUGUUCAAAGAUAACUCUAUCUAUCUCAUUCCUUUCAUCCAUAUGCAUAUCAUUUUCAUGCUCAAGCAAGUAUUGCUCUAAAGGAUCAGUAGGAGGCACAGCAAUAGAAGCUAGAGCAAUAAUUUCAUAUUUACUAGACAACUCUUUUUCAUGAGGUUGUCUACCAAACUUGGAGAAAUUGAACUCAUGUGACACUCCUUCAAAGCCAACAGUGACAGUUUGCUUCUCACAGUCAAUAUGAGCAUUGCAGUAUUAAGAAAAGGUACUGCCAAAUAUGAUGGGACAAAAGCUAUCUUGUGUGGUAGCAAGAACGAGGAAAUCAACAGGAUACUUCGUUUUACCACACAAGACUUCAACAUGUCUAACAAUUCCCACAGGGCAGAUAGUUUCUCUAUUGGUAAGCUGAAUAGUGACAUCAAUAGGUUCCAUCUCGACCAGUGCAAUCUCGUCUUUAAUUUCAUCAUAUAAGGAUUUAGGUAUUGCACUAACACUAGCACCCACGUCACAUAGACCAUGAUAAAAAUGAUCUCCUAUCUUAACAGAAACAACAAGUGUGCCAACAAUCGGCCUAUGUUUGUCUCUAGCAUGAGGUUUAGCUAUUCUAGAAGCAUCUUCACAUAAGUGAAUAUCAUGUCCCUCAACAUUGUCGGACAGGAGAUCUUUGAUAAUAGCAAUGCUAGGUUCAACUCUAAUUUCCUCAGGGGGUGUAGGUGUUCUAAUGUAGCCCCUAUGUAUCAUAUUUGAAGCUUUAGAAUGAUCCUUUAUCCUAACAAGGAAAGGUGGUUUCUCAAUGUAAGCACUAGGAACAAUAGGAUCAUUAUAAGCAAUGACUUUCUCUUCAACUGGAUUGGGUUUAACUACGUUGACUUCUAAGGGAGGAUGAUAUUUAAACCACUUCUCUUUAGGGAGAUCAAUAUGAGCAGCAAAUGAUUCACACAAUGAAGCUACUAUCUCAGAGUCAAGUCCAUAUUUAGCGCUAAAAUCACAAAAAGUAUUUGUUUCGACAAAGGAUUUCACGCAAUCAAACUUGAAAUUCAUACCCGACUCUUUACCUUCAUCAAACUCUCAAUCUUCAGAGUUGCGUUUAAUUCUUUCCAAUAAAUUCAAUUUGAAGUCAAUAUCUCUCUUCAUAAAAGAACCGGUACAAGAAGUGUCAAGCAUGGUGCGAUCAUCAUGAGAAAGCCGAGCAUAGAAGUUUUGAAUGAUAAUUUCUCUCGAGAGCUCAUGGUUGGGGCAUGCAUAUAACAUUGAUUUAAGCCUCCCCCAAGCUUGAGCGAUGCUUUCUCUGUCACGAGGCCAAAAAUUAUAAAUAUAAUUCCGAUCACGAUGUACUAGAUGCAUAGGAUAAAACUUUUGAUGAAAUUCCAAUUUCAACCGGUUGUAGUUCCAUGAUCCAGUAUCAUCACAUAGCCUAUACCAUGUCAAUGCUUUAUCCCUCAAAGAUAAGGGAAAGACCUUCUUCUUGACCUCAUCCUCGGGCAAACCUGCAAGCUUAAAUAAACCACAAACUUCAUCUACAUAGAUUAGAUGCAAGUCGGGAUGUGAUGUUCCGUCUCCUGUAAAAGGAUUAGCCAGCAUUUUCUCAAGCAUCCCCGAAGGAAAUUCAUAGCAAAUAUUUUCAGUAGGUGCAGAAGGUUGAGGAGAAACUCCUUGUGCUUCCGUUCGAGGUGAAUAUACCCCGAACAAGCUCCUCAAAGGAUUAGUUUCCAUAGUGACAAGUGACAAUAAAUUUCAGCACACUAUAUAAAUGUUUCCUUACAAAAUUCCACUUACCGAAGACUCUUCACUCCCCGGCAACAGCGCCAGAAAAGAGUCAUGAUCACCCAAAAGUGUAGGGGAUCUAUCAUAGUCCUUUCGAUAUGUAAGAGUGUCGAACCCAACGAGGAGCACAAGGAUCUGGCAAGUGGUUUUCAACAAGGUAUUCUCUGCAAGCACUGAAAUUAUCGGUAACAGAUAGUUGUGUGAUAAGAUCAUUCAUAGCAAGUAGCAAGUAACAAUAGUAAAAAAGGUGCAGCAAGAUGGCCCAAUCCCUUUUGUAUCAAGGGACAAGCCUGGACGAACUCUUAUAGGAGGUGAAGCGCUCCCGAGGACACAUGGGAAUUUUGUCAAGCUAGUUUUCAUCAUGUUCAUAUGAUUCGCGUUCGCUACUUUAAUAGUUUGAUAUGGUGGGUGGACCGGUGCUUGGGUGCUGCCCUUACUUGGACAAACAUCCCAAUUAUGAUUAACCCCUCUCGCAAGCAUCCUCAACUACGAAAGAAGAAUUAAGACAAAGUCUAACCAUAGCAUUAAACUAGUGGAUCCAAAUCAGCCCCUUACGAAGCAACGCAUAAACUAGGGUUUAAGCUUAUGUCACUCUAGCAACCCAUCAUCUACUUAUUACUUCUCAAUGCCUUCCUCUAGGCCCAAAUAAUGGUGAAGUGUUAUGUAGUCGACGUUCACAUAACACCACUAGAGUAGAGACAACAUACAACACAUCAAAAUAUCGAACGAAUACCAAAUUCACAUGACUACUUAGAGCAAGACUUAUCACAUGUCCUCAGGAACAAAAGUGGCUACUCACAAAGCAUAAUUAUGUUCAUGAUCAGAGAGGUAUUUAAUAGCAUCAAUGAUGUGAACAGAUAAUAUUCCACCGAGUAAUCCAACUAGCAUCAACUACAAAGAGUAAUUAACACUACUAGCAACCUUACAGGUACCAAUCGGAGUCGCAAGACGGAGAUUGGUCACAAGAGAUGAACUACGGUUUGGACAUGAGUUGGUGUUGAUGAAGAUGUUGAUGGUGAUGAGUCCCCUCCGACGAGAGGAGUGUUGGUGAUGACGAUGGCGACGAUUUCCCCCUCUCGGAGGGAAGUUUCCCCGGCAGGAUGGCCGUGCCGGAGCUUUAGAUUGGUUCUGCUCAAGUUCCGCCUCGUGGCGGCGGCGAUUCCUCCCGAAGGCCUCCUCCUGAUUUUUUAUGGAACGUAACCCUCCUUAUAACAAAAGAUAGGAGCGAGAGGGGCAACAGGGGGCCCACAAGCCCCCUAGGCGCGGCUAGGGGGGUAGGUCGCGCCUAGCAGGCUUGUGCCCUCCUGGUGGCUCCCCUGUGGUACUUCUUCCGCCAAGUAUUUUUUAUAAAAUACAAAAUAAUUCCUCGUUGAUUUUCACAGCUUUUGGAGUUGUGCAGAAUCGGUAUCUCAAACUUGCUCUUUUCAGACCAAAAUUCCAGCUGCCGGCAUUCUCCCUCUUCAUGUAAACCUUGUAAAAUAAGAGAGAAAAGGCAUAAGUAUUGUACCGUGAAGUGUAAUAACAGCCCAUAAAGCGAUAAAUACCAACAUAAAAGCAUGAUGCAAAAUGGACGUAUCAUGCAUCCCUAACAUUGCGAUUGUAUCCAUGUGGACAACCGGCGGCUUGUCGUGGUGGUUGUUGUUCGUGGUGCUGAACUAGAGCAACCUCUCUCUCAUCAUCAUAAUCCUUAUUGUGCUCAGCCAUAGAAACCUCGGCAGUAGCAGCAGGGAGGAGCAGCAGCAAGAGCAGCAACAGCAUUAGUAGCGAACAACACCAAAAUUAUGCACUUGUCUAACACACACACGUCACGCUCAUAGCUGUUGUGGUUGUGGUUGAAGAGGGACAGAAGCUGCAGCUGGUGGUGGUAAAUGCGCAAGCACCUCAUCGAACUUGGCGUUCAUCUUGGUGUCAAAUUUCUUCUCCAUACCUUCGAGAUUUCCAAGGCCUCGCCAAUGAUGGUCACGAAAUCCUGUACCUGGUCAGACAUCAUUUGCUGAAAUUUAUCAUGGAGCUCCCGGUUGGUCAGGUUCUCCCAGUCGAUCUCCCCGUCGUGUGAUCCUCGCAUGGUUAGCAGCAAUAGGAACACAGAAGAAUAUGAACCUACAGACUACUAGGAAGUGGUGGUGGUGGUGGUGUGUCACAAAUCCGUCAAGCAAAUCCCAAUUUCUUACCAAUUCUUACCUAGCAGGAGGUGGCGAUCGGCAAUCGGUGUAGUCAAAACUCUCAAAGCUUGGAUAGAGCGAUUGCGAGGUGGUGUCAAACACAUAAUGUGCUCGGAAGGCUUAUAAUAUGGUAGCAAGAAGGGUCAACAAUAAUCAGUUCAGAAAUGCAAAAUUGAAAGACGCUCAACAACGGUACUGUGCUGGUCCUAGGCUAGACCGUACUAGAGACGUGAGCCUAGAACACCAACGAAGUCACGAUGACACGUACUAAUCAAGGGAAGAGCCACUCUGAUUUUCCCCCCUCUUUUUUUGCGCUUUUAUUUUUUUACAAAAUCACUAUAAUGGUGAGUGUCUCAAAACUCUUCCCAAGGACAAAAAACAGGAUAGGCACGAAAAAAAUUGACAAUUUUUUUAAAUUUCUGGAGCAAUUUGGGGCUACGACGACCAAAAAUUGCGACAAAAAUCACUAUGAUGGCGAGUGUCUCAAAACUCUCUAAAAAGCCUAACAAAACGAUAGGGAUUAUUUUUCACCCCUCGAAAUUUUGACUUAAAAGUGCUCGGGAAAGCGUGCCAGACUUUUUUUUUGAUACCUACUCAGGUAAUGAAACGUGAAACCGAAAGCAAAAGGAUCUUGAAAUUAACCUAAGGCAGAAAGGAUUGUGGUGGAUAUAUGGUGGUGGUAUAUGGCAACAAGGAUAAUGGUGGCGUGGUGGUGGUAUAUGGCAGCAGCAAUGAUGGUAACGUGGAGGUGGUAUAUGGCAGCGAUGAAAGUUGGUGCAGUGGCGGCGUGACAACGUGUGAACAGAACUCGAAACUCUAAAGAACUACUCCCUCCGUUCCUAAAUAUAAGUCUUUCUAGAGUUUUAACUAAUGGACUACAUACGGAUGUAUAUAGACAUACUUUAGAGUAUAGAUUCAUUCAUUUUGCUCCGUAUGUAGACACCUAAUGAAAUAUCUUAAAAGACUUAUAUUUAGGUACGGAGGAAGUAGACACUAAGACCAGCAACUCGACACGAUGAUGUAACCGCAGUUUCAACAAAGCAAACUAUUGAAAAGACUAUGCAAAAGCUCACAUUGGUUCGGAUAUGAUGAUCUAACCCUAAUUUUUUUAAUGGCUUUUUCUUGGACUAUAGGUAUGAAGAUAGAUGCGAUUUAACCUGGAAAUCUCACCAACAACCUGGAAAUCUGAUACCACUUGAUAAAGGCGAAGUUGUCCCUAUCUUUCGAUGAGAUCGUGGGUAUCGUUUUGGUGGAGUAGACUUUGACGAUCCAAGUACGAACGUGUGAGGACGUCGCGCCUUAGCAAUCGCUAAACCAACUCCGAGAGGUUAUUGACCACGCCGGAGCACGAUCAACUUGACCACGAAGGUCUGUUUCCUGCACGCAAACGAAGAACAAGCAAGAAACUAAGAUGCAAUCAAGAUAUUACGAAUAUAAGUGGAAAGCUUUAUUGAUGAAGGUGGGGUUCUGUGACGCCUUUGUCUGGUCGUGGAACACAAACGAAGAACGCAAAGUUGCAGCUAUGGUGAACUUGUAAUCUAAACAAAACCCAAGUCUAAACGGUGCCCUAAGGGUUGUAUAUAUGAGGGAACAGAUAGGCAAUUUCGUGACUGAUACGUCUCCAACGUAUCUAUAAUUUUUGAUGGUUUCAUGCUAUUAUCUUGUCAAACUUUGGAUGUUUUGUAUGCCUUUUAUAUAUUUUUUGGGACUAACUUAUUAACCAAGUGCCAAGUGCCAGUUCCUGUUUUUUCCAUGUUUUUGACCCCUUUCAGAGGAGGAUUUUGAACGGAGUCCAAACGGAAUGAAACUGCCAAAACGAUUUUUUUUCGGAACAGAAAAAGAUCGGUGAGCUGGAGAAUCGAGGAAGGGGGCCACCAGGGACCCCACAAGCCCUCACGGCGCGGCCAGGGGGGGAGGCCGCGGUCUCUGGCUUGUGGGCUCCCUGAGGCUCCGUUGCCCUAGGUUUUGCGCCUAUAUAUUCCCAAAAAUUCCAUAAAAAUGAGGAGAUCAUCGAAAGUACUUUUCCGCCGCCGCAAGCUUCUGUCUCCGCAAGAUCCCAUCUGGGGCACGUUCUAGUGCCCUGCCAGAGGGGGGAUUCAGACACGGAGGGCUGCUUCAUCAACACCAUGACCUCUUCGAUGAUGCGUGAGUAGUUCACCAUAGACCUACGGGUCCAUAGCUAGUAGCUAGAUGGCUUCUUCUCUCUAUUGGAUCUUCAAUACAAAUUUCUCCAUGAUCUUCAUGGAGAUCUAUCCGAUGUAAUAUUCUUUUGCGGUGUGUUUGUCGAGAUCCGAUGAAUUGUGGAUUUAUGAUCCGAUUAUCUAUGAAUCUUUCUUCUGAUCUCUCUUAUGCAUGAUUUCAUAUCCUUGUAAUUCUCUUCGAGUUGUGGGUUUUGUUUGGCCAACUAGAUCUAUGAUUCUUGCAAUGGGAGAAGUGCUUGGUUUUGGGUUCAUACUGUGCGGUGACCUCACCCAGUGACAGAAGGGGUAGCGAGGCACGCAUCGUGUUGUUGCCAUCAAGGGUAAAAAGAUGGGGUUUUCAUCAUUGGUUUGAGAUCAUCCCUCUACAUCAUGUCAUCUUGCUUAAAGCAUUACUCUGUUCGUCAUGAACUCAAUACACUAGAUGCAUGAUGGAUAGCGGCCGAUGUGUGGAGUAAUAGUAGUAGAUGCAGAAAGUAUCGGUCUACUUGUCUCGGACGUGAUGCCUAUAUGUAUGAUCAUUCCCUUAGAUGUCGUCAUGACUUUGCACGUUUCUAUCAAUUGCUCGAAAGUAAUUUGUUCACCCACCGUGAUAUUUGCUAUUUUGAGAGAAGCCUCUAGUGAACACUAUGGCCCCCAGGUCUACUCCACACCAUAUUUUCAGCCUUACACUUUUUACUUCGUUGCACUUUCCGCCUUCAGAUCUCACUUUGCAAACAAUCUUGACGGGAUUGACAACCCCUUUAUAGCGUUGGGUGCAAGCUAUUUUGUGUUUGCGCAGGUACUCUGGACUUGACGAGAUUCUCCUACUAGAUUGAUACCUUGGUUCUCAAACUAAGGGAAAUACUUACUGCUCCUGUGCUGCAUCACCCUUUCCUCUUCAGGGGAAAAAGCAACGCAAGCUCAAGAGACGACAGAAGGAUCUCUGGCACCAUUGCCAGGGAAGUACUUUUGUUGAUGUAGCAGUGACCCUUGGAGGAGGGGUCUGAAAACAUCCCUAAACUCGGUUUCCCCACACAUACAUAGAGUGCGAAAAUCAUGAGUGGAAGCUCCAUUGUUCUCUCCCACGCGUGCAACUUCUUCUCCAUGCUUGAUCCCGCUCCAACGGAUAUCCUUCUUGUCCAUGCUAGGUCCUUCAUUCAUGAGCACAACAAAAGUAUCUAACUUAGGCAGCAUCAUAUGUUCAUGAACAUUAGAAGUAUUCCCAAGAAACGAAAGUACAUGGUAAUUCAAUUGGCAUGCACGAGCUCUAGUAACUGGUCUAGUAUGUAUAGCAGCUGGGGCUGUGGGUGUAACAAUGGUGUUGAUGUCCUCAUCAGCAUGCAUAUCCACAGUCACCCCCACGUUGUUUAGUCGUGUGCCCGAGCUCCGUCGGAACCUUCUUCCUCUUUUGGAUGAGAUACACCAUCGUGGAGGUCCUGAUUCGUUGCUAGCGACUUCUUCCUUGACUUCGAGCGUUGGAGAUCCUCAUCGUUGAUUCGCCGACCACAGCGCGUCCCCGGCCAUGUCGCCGAUGCCUACGCAUCCGUUGUGAACCCAUGGUUCAUCCCCCUUGCUUCCGCAUUCUUCUGCGCCGUCUAGUGAUACGUCUCCGUCGAUCUAGUUUUCCGAACUCUUUUGCCCUUGUUUUGGACUCUAAUUUACAUGAUUUGAAUGGAACUAACUGAUACGUCUCCAAUUUAUCUAUAAUUUUUAUGGUUCCAUGUUAUUAUCUUGUCAACUUUGGAUGUUUUAUAUGCGUGAAUAUGCUAUUUUAUAUCUUUUUUGGGAGUAACCUAUUAACUCAGUGCCAAGUGCCAGUUUCUGUUUUUUCCGUGUUUUUGGCCCAUUUUCAGACGGAGUCCAAAUGGAAUGAAACUUUACGAUGAUUUUUUUUGGACCAAAAGAGACCCCCGAAGCUUUGGAAGAAGGCUAGAAGAGCCACGAGGGACUCACAAGCCCUGACGCCGCCACCACCCCCCUAGGUGGCGCAUGGCAGGCUUGUGACCUCCUAGUGGGCCCAACCGACGUAAUUCCACCGCCAUAAAUUCCUAUAAAUUCAGAAACCUCCAGAAAGAAACCUAGAUCGAGAGUUCCGCUGCCGCAAGCCUCUGUAGCCACCAAAAACCAAUUUGGAGCCCGUUCCGGCACCCUGCCGGAGGGGGAAUCCAUCUCCGGUGGCCAUCUUCAUCAUCCCGGCGAUCUCCAUGAUGAGGAGGGAGUAGUUCUCCCUCGGGGUUGAGGGUAUGUACCAGUAGCUAUGUGUUUGAUCUCUCUCUCUCUCUCGUGUUCUUGAGAUGUCUUGAUCUCGAUGUACCAUGGGCUUUGCUACUAUAGUUGGAUCUUAUGAUGUUCUUCCCCCUCUCCCUCUUGUAAUUAAUUGAGUUUCCCCUUUGGAGUUAUCUUAUCGGAUUGAGUCUUUGAGAACACUUGAUGUAUGUCUUGCACGUGUCUAUCUGCCGUGAUCAACUUGUGGGUUUGUGACAAUUGGGAACCUAUGCAUAUGGGUUGGCACACGUGGAUUCAUGUGAGUACUUGAUGUAUGUUUUGGUGAUCAACUUGCGGGUUUGUGACAUUAGGAACCUAUGCAUAGGGGUUGGCACACGUUUUGACUCUCCGUAGAAACUUUGGGGCACUCUUUGAAGUUCUAUGUGUUGGUUGAAUAGAUGAUUCUGAGAUUGUGUGAUGCAUAUCGUAUAAUCAUGCCCACGGAUACUUGAGGUGACAAUGGAGUAUCUAGGUGACAUUAGGGUCUUGGUUGAUAGGUAUCUUAAGGUGUUAUUCUAGUACGAACUCUAUGAUGGAUCGAACGGAAAGAAUAGCUUCGUGUUACUUUACUGCAGACUCUUGAAUAGAUCGAUCAGAAAGAAUAACUUUGUGGUGGUUUCGUACCCGACAAUAAUCUCUUCGUUUGUUCUCCACUAUUAGUGACUUUGGAGUGAAUCUUUGUUGCAUGUCAAGGGCUAGUUAUAUGAUMCAAUUAUGUUAUCAUUGUUGAGAGAACUUCCCUAGUGAAAGUAUGAACCCUAGGCCUUGUUUCCACGCAUUGCAAUACCGUUCGUGCUCACUUUUACCAUUUGUUACCUUGUUGUUUUUGUAAUUUCAGAUUACAAAAACCUAUAUCUACCAUCCAUAUUGCACUUGUAUCACCAUCUCUUCGCCGAACUAGUGCACCUAUACAACUUACCAUUGUAUUAGGUGUGUUGGGGACUUAUUUGGUUGCAGGGUUGCUUGAGAGAGACCAUCUUCAUCCUAUGCCUCCCGCGGAUUGAUAAACCUUAGGUCACCCACUUAAGGGAAAAUUGCUACUGUCCUACAACCCUCUGCACUUGGAGGCCCAACAACGUCUACAAGGAGAAGGUUGCGUAGUAGACAUCAAGAUCUUUUCUAGCGUCGUUGCCGGGGAGGUUAGCGCUUGAAGGUAUAUCUUUAGAUCUUGCAAUCGAAUAUUUUUGUUUCUUGUUCUUUCACUGAAAACUACAAAAAAUGGAAUUAAGGAUGCCUCAUAUGCUUCAUCUUUUCAAUGUCUUUCAUGAGCAUGAUAGGAAGGAAAAUUGUGCUCAAGUGCUGAAAGAAGAAUUACAUAGAAUGCUUGGCAUAGAAUAUGUGAACGAUGAGCAUGAUUGCAAUGUCCUUAGCAUGAAUUCUUUGAAUACCCAUGAUGCUGAUGAUAUGCAAAGCCACAAGCUUGGGGAUGCUAUAUUUGAUGAAGAUGAUCUUUUUAGUCUCUUCCACUUUGAAUGAUCAAAAUCAUUUUGAUGAAAGCAUGCCCCCUAUCUAUGAUGAUUAUUGUGAGGAUACUUAUGCUUUAAAGAAGAGGGAUGAUAAAACUUGUCAUACUCUCGAAAACCCCUUUGCUAAACCUUGCUUUUUCAUUGUGGACACAAUUUGUAGUGCUCAAGUCUUUUACGAUACUCCCACUACUAUUCUUGAGAAUAGAUUUCCUUAUGUGGAGAGUAGUAAAAUUUCUAUGCUUGUAGAUCAUGAAAAGAAUGCUUUAGGUGCUGGUUAUAUUGUUGAAUUCAUUCAUUAUGCUACUGAAAAUUACUAUGAGAGAGAAUCAUAUGCUUCUACUUAUUGCAAUAGUAUCAAACUUCCUCUCCAUGUGUUGAAAUUUUUGAAGCUAUGCUUGUUUUGCCUUCCUAUGCUAGUUGAUUCUUGUUCCAAUAAAUUGUUUGAUCACAAAAUCCCUAUGCAUAGGAAAUGGGUUAGACUUAAAUGUGCUAUCCAUAUGCUCCAUGAUGCUCUCGUUGUGUUUCAAUCCUUACCUUUUAUGUGAGCAUCAUUGAAAUCAAUGCCUAGCUAAGGGCGUUAAACAAUAGCGCUUGUUGGGAGGCAACCCAAUGAAUAAAUUUUUCUUUUGCUUUUUGCUUCCUGUUUUGUUUUCUCCACACCAUAAUAAUUAUGUUAUGAUUGUAUCUUUUGUGUUUCUUUUUGUCGUUUGUGCCAAGAAAAACCGUUAAUCGAUUAGUCUUGGUGAUGAUUGUUUGAUCAUGCAGGAAAAAGACARAAACUUUCUGCUCACGAAAAGCAUUUUCAUUUGUAUUAUGUAAGAGAUUUUGAGUUGAUUAUUUUUGCUUCUGAUUUCUACGAAAUUUCUUCAGACUUUCGUAAUUUUUCAGAUUUUUUGAAGUAACACAAGUAUACGAAGUAUACAGAUUGCUACAGACUGGUCUGCUGUUAACAGAUUAUGUUUUUGUUGAGUUGGUUGCUUAUUCUGAUGAAACUAUGGAUAGUAUCAGAGGGUACUAGCCAUGGAAAAGUGAAAAUACAACAACCCAACACCAACAUAAGUAUAAUUUAAGUUUUCUACAGUACCUAAGGAAGUGGUGAUUUGCUUUCUUAUACUAAUGAUAUCACGAGUUUCUGUUUUAAGUUUCGUGUUGUAAAGUUUUCAAGUUUUGGGUGAAGUUUUUAUGGACAAAGAGAUAGAGAGUGGCAAGAGCUCAAGCUUGGGGAUGCCCAAGGCACCCCAAGUUGAGUCAAGGAUUCCAUAAAAGCCUAAGCUUGGGGAUGCCCCGGGAAGGCAUCCCCUCUUUCGUCUUCGAUCCAUCGGUAACGUUACUUGGGGCUAUAUUUUUAUUCACCACAUGUUAUGUGUUUUGCUUGGAGCGUCUUGUAUCGUAGGAGUCUUUUAUUUUUUGUUGUGUCACAAUCUUCCUUGCUGCGCACCUAGAGAGAGAGACAUGACUCACCGUGAUUUUGUCGAGCUUCACUUAUAUCCUUUGGUAGACAAUUCAGCUCACAUGUGCUUCACUUAUAUCUUUUGAGAUAGAUACUUUUGCUCUAUGUGCUUCACUUAUAUCUUUUAGAGCGCAGUUGUGCGUGGCUUGGUAGUUGAUCUAUGCUUUGAAAGUAGUCUCAAAAGGGGUAGUUAUCCAAAGGGAUACGAAAUCUUCCACCUUCAUGUGCAUUGAAUAGUUAGAGAAGUUUGAUUCAUCUCAAUUAGUUUUGAGUUGUGGUUUUGGUAAUAUUGAAGUAAUGCUAGUAAGGUGUUGUGGAUCUAGAAAUACUUGUGUUGAAGUUAGUAAUUCCCGUAGCAUGCACGUAUGGUGAACCGCUAUGUGAUGAAGUCUGAGCAUGAUUAGUCUAUUGAUUGUCAUCCUUUGUGUGGUGGUCGGGAUCGCGCGAUGGUUUAUACCUACCAACCCUUCCCCUAGGAGUAUGCGUUGAAUGCUUUGUUUCGAUUACUAAUAAAACUUUUGCAACAAGUAUAUGAGUUCUUCAUGACUAAUGUUUAGUCCAUGGUUUAGAUGCACUUUCACCUUCCACCAUCACUAUSUUCUUAGUGUCGUGCAACUUUCGCCGGUGCACAAAACCCACCAUUAGCCUCCCUCAAAACAGCCACCAUACCUACCUGCUAUGGCUUUUUCAAAGUCAUUCCGAGAUAUAUUGCCAUGCAAGUACCACCAUCACAUGUGCCACCACGUCUACAUUGCCAUUGCAUGAUCGUAAGAUAGCUAGCAUGAUGUUCCAUUGAUGUCUAUGCCAUGCUAGAUCAUUGCCACGGUACACUACCGAAGGCAUUCCAUACAAAGUCAUAGUUGCUCUAAGUUUUGAGUUGAAAGUGUGAUGAUCAUCAUUAAUGGAGCAUUGUACCAUGUGAGGAAAUAAAAUAGGCCAAGGAAGCCCACCAAAAAAAAGAGGCCAAAGAGCCCACCAAAAAAAUGAGAGAAAAAGAGAGAAGGGACAAUGCUACCACUUUUUCCACACUUGUGCAUAUUAAGCACCAUGAUCUUCAUGAUUGAGAGUCUCUUGUUUUGUCACCACCGUAUAGCUAGUGGGAAAUUUUCAUUAUAUAACUUGGAUUGUAUAUUCCAAUGAUAGGCUUCCUCAAAAUUGCCUUAGGUCUUCGUGAGCAAGCAAGUUGGAUGCACACCCACUAGUUUUCUUUAAGAGCUUUCACAUACUCGUAGCUCUAGUGCAUCAUUUGUAUGGCAAUCCCUACUCAUUCACAUUGAUAUCUAUUGAUGAGCAUCUCCACAGCUCAUUGAUAUGCCUGGUUAAUGUGACUAUCUUCUCCUUUUUUGUCUUGCAACCUCCACCACAUUCCACACCAUCUAUAGUGCUAUAACCAUGGCUCACGCUCAUGUAUUGCGUGAGAGUUGAAAAGGUUUGAGAAAGUAAAGGUGUGAAACAAUUACUUGGCCAAUACCGGGGUUGUGCAUGAUUUAAAUUCGUUGUGCAAUGAUGAUAGAGCAUAGCCAGACUAUAUGCUUUUGUAGGGAUAACUUUCUUUUUCCUUGUUAUUUUGAAAGUUCAUGAUUACCUUGCUAGUUUGCUUGAA
rnacentral:lncRNA from 1 species